rnacentral:lncRNA from 1 species
UUCUUUCAAAAAAAAAGACAGAGAGUCUUCCUACUCUCUCUCUCCCUUUUCUAUUUUUCCUCCCUUGCAGAUAGGGUUUCGAGACCCAUCCUCGCUGCCAUCGUCUGACCGCCGCACCACCACCAUACUCGGUGGCCGGCAAUGCACAAGAAUAGGCCAUUCGGCCUUGUUCCAAAAGAGUUUGAAGGCCUAGCCUUCUUGAGUCGAAAAGAACCGAAAGAAAGGGCCCUCACCCCUCUUUUAGCCCCGACGAUGGAGGAGAGACCUCCCGCGAAGCAACCACAGGCGGUUCCGGUAAGGUUCUUCUCUUCCUUUUCUUUUUAUUUUAUGGCUACUCUUAUUUAAUAGAUUCGUGUUAAAAUAAAAAGGAAAUAUUAGAGAGAUGAAAAACGAAAUGGAAAUAAAGAAAGUAGAAUAAGAGAUCAACCUUUUGUGUUUUUUUCUUUUUAUUUCCAAUGUUCGUUUGAUACGAUUUUUAUAUAUUCAAAGGUUCCCCCUUCCGUUCAGUCCUUCAUUUCGGGUUUUAUAACCCCUUUUUACAUCCUUUUUCUAUUAUUCUAUCCUGUUUUUUUUGUCUUGAUCUUGCAGGGCAUGGAGGUGCUGGUAGUGGAGGAGGAGCAUGCAGCGGCAGAUGGUGUCAGACGCGUGGACACGCGAAGCCAGCGAUUGGCGAGUAGCGGCGGUGGGCGUGCGCAGGAGGUGGCAGCAACAACAUGCGGCUGAGGUUUCUUUUUGUGUUUGAAAGUUGGUGUAGUUUUGGGCCAUUCGGGCCUCUAGGGUUUUUAUUAAUAUUGGGCAUUUGGGCUUGUAGUUUUUGGGUUUAAAUUGGCUGAAAAUGGGUUGCUUUUGUUUUUAUUAUUUGGGUCUAUUUUGCUGGUAUGGGCCCGGGUAUUUUAUUUUCUGAUUUAGGCCAUAUUGGCCUGCUUUAAUGGACUGUGGCAUUUUAUUUAUUUUGUUUUAUUUUUGGCACUUGGCCCGGCAAAUUUGGGCUUCUACAGGUUUUUUUAAUUUAAUUUUGUUUUAUUUAGUUUUUCAAAUAAUAUUAUAUUACCUAUCUGAACUCGAUGAUUUAAAACAAAUGUAUUUUACGUGUUAUUCUUUAAUUUUUAAAUAUAAGGCAGUGGUGUAUCAAAUAUUUGCCAAUGUGAUGAAUUCCUCAAAUUUUGAGUUUUCAACAAAUUUGCUUACUCUGAAAAUGUAAUGAAUUGAAAAAAAUAGGCAGCAGUAAACAAAUGUAUAUAAAAUAAUUCCAUAAUUUGUCCAACAAACAUAAAUAAGCCACUUUCAAAACAUAAGCAAUCAUUUAGGAGUUAAAUCAUAAAACAAAAUAUAAAGAGGGGUAAUUUUAUAAAUAUUUUGGACCGGGUUUACCUUAAACCCAACCCAAACUGAAACUAAUUUUUAGAAGAAACUUGUUGAUUUCGGGUUUUUCUUGUUCAUCCCUAAAUAAAACACGUAUUGAUAAUUUAAGUAUUAUAUUAGACUUUUUCAAAGUACAGACACCAUAUUAAACAUUUUAUGAAAGUGCAUGUAUCAUAAUAAAACACAUAUUGGUAGUUUAGGUACCAUAUUGAACAUUUUCAAAAUACACAUGCCGCAAUAAACAUUUUGUGAAAGUGAAGUUACUAAAUUUGACAUUAUCCCUUAGAAGAGUCGGAUUAGAACAGAAUACUUUUUUCUUUUCUUUUCUGCUUUGUUAGAACAUAAUACAUAUUAUAAUUAAAUAUGAUGUUAAACUAUUAUACUAAUGUAUAUAAUACAAAAUGUUUAAUGCGUCUUUUUAUUUUUAUUUAAAAUUUUGAUGUAAUAUCUAUAUUUACCUUAAAAUCAUUCAGUAGGUGGUAAUGCUGUUAUUGUAACAAUAAAUAAAAUAUAAAUUCAAAGGUGUUUAAUUUUUUUAUUUAAAAAUUUGGAAAUUAUAUUAAAAGAAAGUAUGGUAUGAACAAAAUCAUUUAAUUGCUAUUUAUUUUGUAAGGUUGUGGGAUUAAAUUUAGGGAGACAAUUGAUCUAGACAUGAAAAAUUUUAAAAAUAAAUUAUCAAAAUUUAAAUUGAAUUAAUUUGAUUGGCUAUUGUGCUGGGAAGACUUUGACCUAAUUGGAGGAUCAUUUUUCAUUCACAAAAAUGGAUUACAGAAAAGUCGGUCUUAAUUAAUUAAUGGCUAAUGAUAAAUUUGAUCACUAAUAUUGGCAUAUUUUGUCAAAAUGGCCCUAAUUAUAUUUUUGAGACUUUUUUUGUCAUCAACCUUUGAUUUUUUUUCAAACUAUUUUUUCUAACAGAUUUAAUGAAUAAAUUCAAUGUUUCAAUCUUUCUUUCUUUUUCAAAAGGUUUCAAUAUUUCAUACUGUUUGUUUAUUGAGAAAUUUUUCUAUUGAGUUAAUUUUUUUUAGAUAAUUACGUUUAUUUUAUUUAAAUUAAGAGUUUUUUUUUAAAUUUCAUGUAUUGUUUAUUUAUUUUAUUAUUUUCCAUAUGUAAUUAUCUUCUAUGAUUAUUUAAGUAAUAAAUUAGAUAUUAUUAAAAAUAUUCCACAUAUGAAAUUCCACAUCAUCCCCUUUUUAACCUUUUUUAAUGAUACUUUUCAUCAAAUCUGUUAAAAAAACAACUUGAAAAAAGGAACAAAAAUUGAUGGCCAAAAAAAUUUAAAAAAUACAUUUAAGAUCAUUUUGACAAAAUAUAUAAAUGUUGGUGGCCAAAUUUGUCAGUAAACAUUAACCGGAGAUUAGAUUGUUACAAAAAAAAAUUCGCAUGUUUUUAUUAAUUAAUUAAUACAUUAAAAUUAAAAUAGGAAGUUGAACUUAAAAUUUAACCAAACACAGUUAAGUAGUUUGAUUCAUUUCGAAUUAAAGAAUUCAGAAUGUCAGAAUGAAAGGGUUCGCUUUGACCGUUAAGAGCAGGUAACCCGUUCCCUGUGUUUUUGUUUCUAUUGCAUUCUAUCUCAUCGUAUCACAUUCUGUUCUGCGAUAUUUGUCUUAUUCAAUUAUUUCUCUUUAUGACCCAAAAAGGAGCCGUCCUUUAUAUUAGUUGAAAGUUGAAACCUUGAAUAAAGGAAAAUUUGUGAUAUAUGAUCAGAAUGUAGAAUGUCUUUCAAAAAAUUAUUACUUCCUGCCAUUCUUAAUGAGUUGUAGAGUUGUAAUUAGCUGUCUCUUAUAGUGCAUUCAUAAAAACAUUAAUUAUACUUCAUUGUCUUUUUACAUUCUUCUAAGUAACUUAACAUUACAAAACAAAGGGAAAAAGAAUUGUGGGCAAAAAAGAAAAACAAAAAAAACCUGCAUCUUGCAUCCUAAAAUUGUGACAUUUCCUCACGAGUUCUGAUUUCUAUAAUUUUCAAACACAUUGUUCAAAGUUUAGACCCUUUACAAUUCAAAAUACUAGCAUUUCCUCAACUUUUGUUUAGUUGUUUUCUAGAAAGAAAAUUCUUAACAUUUUCUUCCUUUGAAUUCCUCAUCUGCCUCCACUAUGUACAUUUCAGCUCUCUUUUUCUCUGGGGAUAUCCAACGUUGUUCUGCUUCUAACUCUAUUUUUCCCGAGUUAAAUGAUGUUUGCAUGAAUUGGGUUGCUUAUCCUUUUGUCUAUAUCAUUCCUAGUCUUGACUUUAAUGAUGUUUGCAUGAAAUGGGUUGCUUUUCUUCUCUCUAUUGCUGUUACGAUGAUUCGUUUUUUUUUUAUUGCAACUGAAGUAAUGUUUUAAAUAUAGAUUUUAUUUUUAUUUUUUAAAAAAAAAGGGGUUUAAUCUGUACUUUUCUCACUCUUUCUUUCGUCUGAUUAUCAAGUGGUAGGUUGUUAACUUGUUUUUUUCCCAAAUUUUAAACAUAUUUCUCCACCGGUUGUUCACUGGUGGAGAUUCCCUUCAGGUUCUCGCACGCUAAUUGUUUUAGUUUGCUGAAGAAACAUUUCUAAUCUGUUUUUUUUUUCUUCUUCUCUAAAUACAGGUCUUAUGGUUUUCAUCAAACUUUAAGGCCUUUUAGCGGAUCAUAUCAAUUCAGAUUGAAGCGGGUGUUUCAUCCAAGUUCCAACAAUGGUUCUUGGCCUAAGAACUAAGAACAGAAAAGGCUGCUUACAUCAGCUUGUUUACACCGUAAAUGUGAAGGAGAUUAAUCCUUGGACACCAUUGCAAUCACUGCGAUCGGCUCAAUCUGUUUUGCUACAAUGGGAAACUGGUGAUAAGAGUUCUGGAUCCAUAGCUUCUACCAUUGAUAACGGAAAGAUUGAGUUCAAUGAAUCUUUCAAACUUCCAUUAACUUUACGUCAAGAAGCAUCCCGUAAGAGCACGAAUCAUUUGAGUUUCCACAAGAACUGUUUAGAGUUUUACUUGUAUGACUCUCGGAAAGAAAAUGUGUCAAAAGCUCUACUUCUGGGAUCUGCUAUUGUAAAUCUUGCUGAUUAUGGAAUUAUCAAGGAAACUAUAUCCAUUAGUGCUCCUUUUAACUUGAAGAAGAGUUCUAGGAACAUAGAACAUCCUGUUCUUUAUCUUAAUAUCCAACCUUUUGAUAAAGAUAGCUCGAGCGCUUUGUCGAAAGAAGUGUCAUUAGACAAGGAUGGCAGUGAAUGUGUUUCUGAAUUCAUAAAUGAAGGAAAUGAUGAGGAAAUCGAGAUUGCUUCUUUUACUGAUGAUGAUGUUGAUGAUCUUUCCUCACAGUCAUCCCAUAUUACUUCUUCUUCUUCUGUUUUCGAUCAUUCUAGAGAGUCACAUAUUCAACAUGAUAAGGUACUUAGGUUCAUCAUCCUCCUUUUGUUCUUCAUUUCCAUUUUCAUUGAAUUGUCUGUUAACUGUUGUCUUUGAAUUGGGGUAUAAGAUUGGAUUGGAUUUAUGAAUUUGGCUUGGAGGACUUUGAUCCUUGGGCAUUACCAUAAGUACUGCUUUUUGAGGACUUAACACCGUCCUACUUAGACACUCAUGUAUGCUACUCUUAGUAGUGUUAAUUGAAAUUGCAUAUAUUUUGCACAUGCAAUUUUCUGUAUAGUUACAAUUUGUUUAGUUAAUAUGGGGAAUGGGUUUUCAUCUUGGGACCUUUUCUUAAGUUAAGGGGUAGCUGGUGAUUUUAGGCUAUGGCUUGACUUGAAAAUCACUAGCAGCAAUAAGAUGAGCCAAAAUUAGUUUUGGGAACACAUCAGAUGGUUGUUUCUUAUCAUCCGCUACCACCAUGAUUCUAUUCUGGGAGGUCUGUCGUAGUUCUGGUUAAUUUGGUGGCUGUCAAUGUCAUCUUAACAAAGCUAGAAUUUCUGAAUGUUUAAUAGCAUGUCACUGUUGAUUACAGAAUCAAUCAGAAUCAGCCACUGGUGGGUUUGAAAGGCUUGGGCUCACGCUUCCUUCUGCUGGAACAAAUGUAAACUCGGGGGUAAGUCCAAUUGUUGAAGCAUUCAAACAAGUGAAUGGCAAUACUUCUCCUUCAUCUUCAGUGGACUUGUGCUCCAACUCUAUGAAUCCUGUAACUAAUCCUAUGGCUAAAGUUGCAUCCCGGGAGCACGGUGGUACUACCAUUCCAGUAGAGACCAACUUAGACCAUGUAAAGGAUGAAGAUUUGUCCAACAACCCCAAGAAUCUUGUAACUUAUCCCAAGGCUGAAGUAGCAUCCUCAGAGACAAGUGUUACCAUUCCGGUAAAUACGAAUUUAGAAUAUGUAAAAGGUAAAGGUUUAUCCAACAACCCCAAGAAUCCUGUAAGUUAUCCCAUGGCUAAAGUUGAAUCUGCAGAGACGAGUGUUACAAUUCCAGUAGAUACGAAUUUAGACCAUGUAACAGAUAACGGUUUGCCCAAUAGCCCCAAGAAUCCUGUAACUUCUCCUAUGGCUAAAGUUACAUCCUCAGAGAGGAGCAUUACCAUUCCAGUAGAUAUGAACUUUGACCAUGUAAAAGAUUCCCAUGCCAAAAGAGAGGGUGAUAGGAAAGCAUUGAGGCAUGACCAAAGUCAUGUAGACAGAUCUUUAAGUAGCAUUUCACAUGUUGGUCAGCGGAAGGAAAAUGAGGAAAAGACACUGUGGGAAGUUGAGCUGGAUAGCCAGAUUUUAAAUGCCAAGGAAUACUCUCCGCAGGACAUGUUAGGUUUUAUACCGACUCAAGAUUCUACAGAAAAUAAAAUCAGUUGGAGGAGUAACACUUUUGCGUCCAGCUGUGAAACAACUGAAGUCAAAGGUGGCUUCAUUGCAAACGAUGGACAGAAGCAUGCGGCACCUGUUCAAUUGCAUUUUGACAACAAUGGCCUGUCAAAGAAGAUCCAGUUUAUGGAGAAGGCAAAGGAACAUGAUAUUUCCGAGGAGAUUUCUAAUGGUAACUCAAGUGAUAUGCAUAGUGAAAGGGAAGAAACAGUGAACAACUUUUCUAACAGUAAAUUUAACUCAGGUAACAGUUAUGGGCCACUAAAGAAUACUAAGUUCAUGGAGAAGGCAAAGGAAUCUGAUAUUCCUGAAGAGAUUCAUAAUGGUUCUACAAAGGAUACAUGUAAUGAAAGCGAAGAAGAUGCAAAUAGCUUUUCCAACAGCAAAGUUGAACUGGAGUCCAAAAUUGAAAUGCUUGAACAAGAAUUGAGAGAAGCUGCUGUUGUUGAGGCUAGUCUUUAUUCUGUUAUUGCAGAGCAUGGGGGUUCUGUAAACAAGGUUCAUGCUCCAGCUAGACGACUUUCUAGAUUCUAUAUCCAUGCUUGUAGAACAAGUAACCCAGAUAAGAGGGCAAGUGCUGCUAGGGCUGCUGUUUCAGGAUUGGUUUUGGUCUCUAAAGCCUGUGGAAAUGAUGUUCCAAGGUGUGUUCUUACACUUCCUGUAAUUUUUUUCCCUUUUAGAAAAUGGAACUGGAAGAUUUUAGAUUCUACCUUCUCUACCACCAAAGAUGUUAGUUUGGUUUGCAUGUUGAUCAUUCCUAUCCCAUUAUUCAUAGGUUAACCUUCUGGUUGUCAAAUUCAAUUGUACUGAGAGCAAUUGUGAGCAAUGCUAUUGGGGGAAUUCAGCUAUAUUCUGGACCAUGCUUAAAUAGUAGUAGCGAGGGAAUGGUGUUGGAGGACAACUCCCAUCUGCAAGAGGAAUGCAAUUCAACGGAAAGUUUUGAAGAGUGGGUGGACCCUCAGACGUUUCUACUUGCAUUGGAGAAGUUCGAAACUUGGAUCUUCUCCAGAAUAAUUGAGUCAGUCUGGUGGCAGGUCAGUCCUUUCUUUUAAAAGCUUAGUGCAUAUCGUCUUCUAAGUGCAUAUCUAAUGCUAUUUCUUCCUAUAUACUUGCCAGACUUUGACUCCACAUAUGCAGUCGGCUGCUGCAAAGAGCUCAAGCUCAAGGAAAACAUCAACCAAAAGAUAUGGAUUAGGCGAUGAAGAGCAGGGGAAUUUUUCAGUCGAGCUUUGGAAGAAGGCUUUUAAAGAUGCCUGCGAGAGGCUUUGUCCCAUUCGAGCAUGUGGACAUGAGUGUGGUUGCUUAUCCAUGCUGGCUAAAUUGGUAUUAUGAUACAUUUUAAGUUAUUUUUAUUUUAUGCAUAAAGAACUUGGCCUUGAAGUCUAUCCUUGUUUAUGUUCAUUAUGUCUCUUUGUGAUAUGAUGGGGCCAUGUCGUUGUUUCUAUCACAUUAAUUAUCAAAUUGUUAAUGUUGUCGACAUGCAAAUUCGAGAUUAGGUCAUGGAGCAAUUGGUGGGUAGAUUGGAUGUUGCAAUGUUCAAUGCUAUUCUUCGUGAAUCAGUGGACGAAAUGCCAACAGAUCCUGUUUCUGAUCCUAUAUGUGAUUCAAAGGUUCUUCCCAUUCCUGCAGGAAAAUCAAGCUUUGGGGCUGGUGUACAAUUAAAAAAUGCUGUGAGUAUUUGGUUGCUCUUUCUGUUGAGCUACUUUAGUACUUAAUUGCCUCUAUGAUUCGUAAGUUCUGAACCCGUUUCCAUAUAUUUAAAGAGAAAUCCACCCAACUUACAUUUUACUGAUGUUAAUAUUUUUAUAUGCACAUCAAAAGUACACAUUUUCAUAUAUUCGUUUAAUAACUCAUCUGCUGCUGGAGAUAGUUAACUGUAUCAAUACCUGCAAUUCCAGCCUAUUAAUAUGCUUUACCUUCUGCUUUAUUUUCUCUCUUUAACUUAACACAUGAUUUUAUCCGACAGUCGGAAAUUUCAUUCACUUCGAAGAAGUUAAAUGCUUGAACCUUGUGAUCUCUUGUCCCCCAAAUAUUUUAUUAAGAAUUAAUUUAAGCAUGCAAAAGCUUAUUAUGUGUUUAACAUUUGACUAAGAGGGAUCUUUUUUCUAUUGACCUUGCCUUAGCAGAUUGGAAACUGGUCAAGAUGGCUAACUGAUCUAUUCGGUAUUGACGAUAAUGACGGUCCUGAAGAUAGCAACGAAGUUGAUGAUGACAAAAAAGCAGGAUUUGAGGCUUCCUUCAAGGCCUUUGGUCUCCUCAAUGCAUUGAGUGAUCUCAUGAUGCUUCCAUCCGAUAUGCUUGUCAAUCGGUCCCUGAGGAAGGAGGUAUAGUUCGGAAUCAUGUAUAUAUGUAUCAUCAUACAUAUUUAGUCUUGUAUAUAUCUCAUUCUUCUGUUGCAUCCUUAUUCAUGUUGAAGGUAUGCCCCAAAUUCAGCCCACGAUUGAUCAUCAAGGUUCUUAACAAUUUUGUGCCUGAUGAAUUCAAUCCGAACCUAGUUUCAGAGGCAGUUUUUGAAUCAUUGGACGAGGUUUGUCAUGACAUAACCCCAAAAAGAAAAAGUUUGCUUAAAAUGAACUUUCCACUUCUUUUGUCAACCCGGAAUCUUCCAAGUUUAUGGUGCUGAAUUUUAUUUUUCCUGACGGAUCCGUGUUCUCGUAUUCAGGAUAAUUCUGAGGUUGGGGACGAGUCUAUUGCAAACUUUCCAUGUAUGGCAGCUCCAACAGUGUAUUCACCACCUUCGGCAGCUUCCCUAACAGGCAUUGUCGGAGAGGUCGGAAGUCAAGCCUUGCGAAGAAGUAGAUCAGUGCUUAGAAAAUCAUACACUAGUGAUGAUGAGCUUGAGGAGUUGGAUUCACCCAUCACCUCGAUCAUUAUCGAGAACCGCAGCGAUUCAACCGAUUCAAAAUCACUGAAUUGGAUGAGAAUAGGAAAGGGAGACCGAAAAGUAAUUCGAUAUCAAUUAAUCCGAGAAAUAUGGAAAGAAGGCGAAUGGUAAAAUUUCUUAAGUUUUAACCCCCUCCCACUGUUCUUCACUGAACAUGGUUUUGUAUAUAAGCUCAUGACUUAUAGGCUGGUGUAUUAAGUUGUUGGAGUUUAACAGAAAUCGGUAUUUUCCAUCAGCUAUUCUUCUAUUUAUUAAGAGCUCAUAUCGUCUAUGUUAUGUUUUUUUUGCAUGCCAACACAAUCAAGAUACUGCAAGGGCAUGUACGGAAAAGGUAAGCUUAGACUUAAAUCUAUUUGCUCGUUUAAUCAAUAUUUUUCAAUUGGAUCAUUUUAAAUUAUCUUUUUUAUUUUUAAAAUUUUAAAAUUUUAAUCUUAACAAUAACAAACUAAUAUAACAUUAUGUUGUUUGUUCCAGAACCUUUAAGAGCUUUCUAGAAUUGCUUUGAGAAAGGAUGACUCAUUAUUUUUACUGAUCUGUAGAAUUGGUUACUCCAGCUAACCAACUUUGUCUUCUUUGUUACCAAUUUAUGUAUAAAUCUGCUACCUGUUAUUGGAAAAGGGGAUUGGUUAAAUGACAUUUCAGUUUGCCCCUCUAGUUUGUUGUUUUUUUCUAAUCAUGAUUUAUUUUCUGACUCAUUAUACAUAUAAUCAUAUAUUUGCCCCUUAAAAAAAUGGUUUGCAAAUUUUAAAAAUAAUACCACUUCAUAAAUUUGAUAGUUAUUAUUAGAAAAAACUCUUUUGGUUGGUGUAAGUGGAGAAAAAACCAAUUUCCCUUUGGUUGGUAUCAUAUAUGUAAGGUAUUUUUAAAGAAGGAAGGUUCAGAAAAAUUUGAUAUAGAUUAAAAUUUUAUUACUAUUUUUUAUGAAAAUAUAUUUUCAACUAUUAAAUAAAUAUUAAUAUAUACAAUUUGAUUGAUAUGAUACAAAUAUUGGAUUGGUUUGAAAAUUUACAUUCAUUCCAACUGACAAGUACAAUUGUAUUGAUUAAAUGCUAAAAUUACAUAAUUUAUAUAAUUAAAUUGGUUAAUUUAUGAGAGUGCACCACUGAUUUUUUCAUGUUUAUAUUGAAUUUUGUGCAAUGAUACAAUUUGGGGCUAAAUAGAAGAAAAAGGAAACAAUUGGACUAGAUUGAAGAAAGGAGCAAAGAAGGCGGGACAAAGCAGAAUUUUUCUAAGAUUUAAUUAGCUGAAAUUCUAUGUUGACUAAGUGGAGUUUAUGUAGGGAUUUUUUAUAUCAUGGAAUAUUUUAUUUUCUUGAUUUUCUAUGGCUAGUGGCUCUUAAUUUAGUAAAGCCACUAGUAUAAAUAGGGGGCUACUUGUUCAUUUAACCAUCAAGUCAUUAAUCAAGUUUUUAAUUACCAAGUUUUUUUUAUUAAAUUUUGCAUCAAGUUCUUUUUAAGCUUUUCAUCAAGUCUUUCAUCAAGUGUUUUUCAUCAAGUUUUUAAUCAAGCCUUUAUCUUUUGAAUUCAAUCUUUUCUUUUCUUUUUGCAAAUUUAUUUGCUUACAUUGACUCCUUAUAUUUUUCCAUUUAUUAGUUUCCAGCUUUGGAAAUACUGCACCGAAACCUUGCGUCACGCACAUCCAUCCAUUUACAUUUUUUUUUAUCCAACCCUCUCCAAAUAUGCCUAACUCCAACAUGCCCAAAGCCUUAGUCAACUAAAUCCAUUUCAGCUUUAGGUCGGUGUUAGCUUCGUCAAGACCCGUGAGUUACAAACCCGAGCAAUUUAACUCCUAAAUUUCAGUACUUAUUAUUUCUCCAGAUUAAGAGUAUGAUUUUGUCAACUCACAAAGUCAAAUCAACACUAAGUCAAAAAAGACGUCGUUUGAGUUAAUGUGGUUAGACGUACAGUUGGAAUUCCGAAAUGAUAGAUUGUCUAAUCGAUUUUCCGUGAACACAUUUCAGGUUCCAGGUUCCAUGAACCUAAAACCUAUGGAACCUGGAACCUGGAACCUCGAAAAAACCCGUGCCUAAAGCUGAGCUUAGUUUAAUUAAUUUUUCUUCAGAUUUAUUUAACUGUUUUUAUUAUUUUAUUUUCAGCUUUUACUUUUCACGCAUUUUUUCCUUGUUUAUUUCAGGUUUCAGGUUUUCAAUUUUAUCCUCUCCCCAAAUUUUUUGGGCACGACAACUACCCAGACACAAAUCUAGUCGAGAAAGAGAAACAAUUUUCAAUAAACCCAGUCUCUAAGGGAUCGACCCUACUCCCUAUACUGCUUAAAUUACAAAUUAGGCGUAGAUUUAUAUUGGUGGACUCGACACCCAUCAUGUAUCCAUAAAUUCAAUGGUUAGAUCGUUAAAAUAUUAGUAGUGCAAAGAAAUUUAUUCAAUUUAUUUUUUUCAUAAGUUAAAUAUUAAGUUGGUUUUAAAUAAGUUUUUAUUAUAAAUAUUUAUGUAAUUAAUUUUAUUUUAUUUUUUUGCAAUCAAUUCAAGUAACUUUUAAUGUUUCAAUAUUAAAAUUAGUGAAUAGUUAAUUGUUAAACUUAAAAUAUAUUUUAUAUUAAAAAAUAUUAAUAAUGUUGAUUAAAUUAAAUUUAUAAAUAAUAAAUAACCUAUAAAAUAGUAUAAAAUAUUACUUAAAUUAUAAAUAUUAAUAUUAAUAAAAUAUCGAUUUUUAUUGUUUUAAUCUUAAAUAUUUUCAAGAUUAUAUGCUAUUAAUAUAAUACAUUCUAAAUUAUUUAAAUAUUUUUAAAAAUAUUGUAUAGUUAAAUCAAUUUUUAAAAUCAUUAAGAAUUUAAACGAUUAAAAAAAUUAUAUAAUUACCAUACAUAAUUGUCCAACCGUGCAUUGCGCAGGAUAUGACAUAUCAUAUGUAAAGUAAGGUAGGGGGCAUUUUAAGAAAUUUUGAGUUCCAAAGUGUGACAAGUGUCACCACUAAAUAACAUCUGUUUAAUUGGUGAAACACAUUCAUUAAAGAUAAUAAACAAAUUUGGAAAUGAUCCCUAUAAUUUCAAUGAGUAAUUUCAAUUAGUCCUUAUUUAUGAGCUGUAAAUUGUGGAAUAUGUUAGUUUUUCUUCCCUACAUACUAAGAUAAUCAUAAUUUUUACAACAUUAACUUCCUUUUUCUUAUUAAACAAGCUAUCCUUUAAAAUUAUUACAUAAAACUAUUGAGUAUAUUUUUUAAAUACAAUUAAUCUGUGUACUUAAUUAAAAUAAAAAUGACUUUUCAAUAAUCAUAACAAGUUAGUAUACAUUAUAAUAUUGCAAAAAUUAAAAUAGGAAUUAUAACAACAUUUUGGAACAACUUUUUAAGGCAGAGAUUGAAGAUAUUAAAUAUUAGAAAUCAAGAGUUCUUUUUAUAAAUUCUAAUCUGACUCAUUUGUUAAUUUGGAAGAAUAUUAGUAAUUAAUUCAUCUUUAUUUUAAACAUUACUUUCUACAAAUUAAAUAUUUAUAUUAAUUUAUUAUUAUUUUUCAAUAUUAAUAUUAUUGAAAUGUUACAAAAUUUAAUUGAUACAUUCAACCAAAUAAAGAAUUAAUCAUUGAAAUAUGAUUGAUUGAUAUUGGUCAAUAGACCUAUUCAUAAAUCAAGUUAUCCAUUCAAAUCGAAACAUUCGCCCAAAUUUUAAGAUUUGAAAAAUAAUAUUAAGCCCAAAAAAUAAGAUCCAUUUAAAAUAUGAAAUAAGCUUUAAACGUUCAAAACUAAACUCAUUUUACAAUUUAAUGUUUUAUAUCAUGUUAUUUUAUAUAUUGAGUAAUUUAUAACACAUAAAAAUUAAAUCUAUAAUAAAAUAUAAUACUAAAUAUUAAAUAUAUAUAAUUAUUACAAUUAUUUAUUUUUAUAAGUUAAGAUAUAUUUUUAAAAAUAACAAAACAAGCUUAAAAUAAACUUAAAUUAACCAUUUACAAAUCUAAACAAAAUUAUCAAAAUUUUAAACCAAUAUUUCAAAUCCCACCAAAUUUGAGUAAAUAUAAACUAAAUUCAUAUUUUUAGGUCAACUAAAACCUAAUUCAUUUUAUAAGCACCUCUAUUGUCUAGAUUUAAGAAUGAAAAAUUCAAAACAAGUUUUGAUUGAGAAAAAUCAUUCUAAAAUUUCAACUCAACUAAUUAGCAUAACAUAUUAUUUAAUAUAUUUAAAAUUCAACUUAAAAUAUUUACAACCUACUUUAAUUACAUCGGUAUUUAAAACAAGUACUUCUGUUUCAAAAUUUCAAAAAGGUACAAGCGCUCAAGGAUAAACAACCAUCCUUCAAUACAAUCAAUGUUAACGAUGAAAUCAACAAAAUCUUAUCAUUUGUACUUGUAUAUUGCUAUUCUUUAAUAUUCAUCAUCUAGAAAUAUAGCACUGUGUCAAAACAUAUAAACACAAACACAGUCAUUUAGCAUAUUAAUUUAAAUACCUUGGAUUUUGACUUGCAAGUAAUAUUAUGAGGAAAAGAUAUUUAUAGAUUUUGAUGUAAAUUUUGAGAUAAAAAGAUGUAGCGACCUGUUCGAGGCCACGAUCAAAACGAAAAUGAAGUUAAUGGGCACGGAGAAUCGCUCAAUGAUAUUGCCAACCUUCAAUGCAAAUCACGCCAUCAAUAAUUAAUUGACGCCUUUGCUCUGCAAAUUGGCUUUCUUUUAAUAAGAAGCAAAAGAAAAAUAAAAAAAUCUUUAGAAGAGGAGCAGCUGUGAGAUGGCAGAUAUAGAUUUUUGGAAGAAGGGUCGUUUAUAUAGAGGGUGGUGAAGAACCAAAACCCUAAGUCGAGAUUGAAUUAUUACUGUAAAAUGGCCAAAAAUACCCUUCUUUUUAUAGCUUUUUGCGCUUUUGUGGGAGCAGGGCCUGGAUGAGUUUGUUGUGGGCUCAAUUUUCAUGCUUAUAUUAGGCUUAAUUCAUUGUUCCGCUCUUAAAAGUAUAUAUAUUUUCCCAUUUUGGUGUUUAAAUUUUUUAUUUUAUAACCAUGGUUUUAAAAUUAUGUUAGGCAAUUUUGAUCAAUGAAAAAGUGUCACAUGACAUGUUUUGGCCAAUGAAAAAAUGCAUCAUGUAAUUAAGUUUAUUUAAAAUAAAAAUAUUAAAUUUAAAUUUUGGACGACGCAACGUUAUUAUUAAAAUGAGUGACGUCAAGAUGAGCUAGGGCUUGUCGCUGCGACGUGACAUAUUGUGAUGGUUAUAUCAUGACAAAAACUAGAUAAAGUCGCAACUUCAAUCCAUAUAUUUUAAAAAUUUUGCAAUGUGAUCCUAUUUUAUACUUGGGUUGAUAAAAAAGCUCUUAUAAGCUCGAUUAAAGCUCUAGACUAUUUGUUUAACCUGGAAUGAAUGGGGUUAACAUUGAAUAGUAUGUGUAAAUGUUUGUUUUAAUGUGAACUUGAUGGUAGUUGCUCCGGCAACGAAUGUAACAUUCUAUAGCUCAAAUCCAACAAUUAGGCCCAGCGAAAGGCGUUACAAUGAGUCUUGAUUUUUUAUGUCUGGAGAUACAUUUAGCUUUAGGGUGUUUUUUUAAUUUAACUUAUGUAUUAAAUGAUAAAAUGAAUAUCAUAAAAAAAUUAUCAUUUCAAUUUGGUUUUUAAAAUUUAAUGGGUAUUGGGUUUUAAAGUUUUAAUGGGUUUUGACUUUUAAAAGUAUUGAGUAAUAUGUAUUUUAAUUUAAGGUUUAGGGUUUAGAGUAUUUGAGUUUAUUAUGUAUUUGAGUAAUUACCAUUUACAUACUCAAUCCCUGAGGCAAGGAUCGGUCUGAUCUUACGAAGAGAACUCUAUAAUUCAAAAAUGUUCUUAAUAGCAAGUAGGUUUCUCGAGUCCUAAAGAUAUUUAGCUUUAAGAGUUUGAACCCAAAGACUAAUAUAUUCAUAUAUUAAUCCCCAACCCAAUUUAAUUGGGAGGGCUUGAUUUUUCUUUUGGGUGAGGGGAUACCUAAUUUAAUUUUGGUCUAUGUGCUAUACUCGAAUUUAAUAUCUAAUCUUUAUACUACAAAUUUUUUUAUAUAAAUUGGUACUUCAAUUUUUACAAUAUCAUUUAUUAGCGCAAAUACUUUAUUUGAUUAAAAUGUUUAUAUACUUUUAAAAGUUGUAAACAAUGUUAAAAUCAUUUGUUAAAAUUAAGUCUAUUGUAGUGCUUUUUUCUAUUACAUUGGUAGCAAAUUGAUACAUGCAUGGAUGGGGUGAAAUUUAUUAAAUUCCAUUCACCGAAACUACCAAUUUUUAAGUUUGGAAAAUCAGUAGACUUACGGCGACUUUUUGGAUGGGAUAUUCUAGACAUUUCUAGGUUGAGAUGUCUUCAUGGCGUUUAAAGAUCUAUCUCUUAGCUUCGAAACACAUUUUGAAUCACUUGAUUUUGAAUUCGGGAGCUCAAGUUAUGACCGUUUUAGUGAAGACUGUGCAAGUAGAAUUUCUAGACAGGAUUAUGACGGGAAUUACGAGUUUCAGGCUUUUAAUUUGAGUUUAAAUCAUAUUGGGUCCGAGUUUUAGGCUUAAUUUUUAUUAUAUAUGAGCCCGAUAUUGUAUUUAUCAGCUCUUAUUAUUUUAUUAUUUCAAAUUUUUAAUAACUAUUAAGUAGUUUAAGUUAUUUAGGAGUUUUAUGUCAAUAAGAAAGUUUAGUUUAAAACUACUUCUUGUUUAGAUUAAUUAGAAUUCUAGUAUACUUAAAAAUUUUAUUUAGAUUUAUUUAGCUAGCCUAUAUAUAGGCAUUUGCAUUGUACAUAAAAGAGACAAAUUUGUUUUCAUUAAUAAAAUUUUUAAUUUUGGGAGUUUGUUUCUUGUGCAAGAUUUAUUUCUUGUGAUUUUUAGAAGUAGUUUUAUUCUCGAUUUUUUUGAAAGAGUCAUGAGAAUUCAUUCUUCACCUUCCAAUUUGUCAAGGAUUAUUUCUUGGAGGAUUGAUUAAAGUCAUUAAUUGAGUUUGUUUGGAUUUAUAUCUUAAAGGAUUCAAUUGGAUAUUUAUCUUUCUAUCCAUCAUAGCUAUUGGUUUAUUCAAUUCAUCUUCCACUUUUAAAUUUUAUCUAUUUAUUUAUAUAUUAUUAUUUGUUCUUUGUUCUCAAAUUUCUUCUUUUACUGUUUUUGACUUCUUUAUUAUUAAAUUUGUUUAUUUCUUUUUUCAGAUCAGAUCCAAAUCUUUCCUUUUCGAGUUGAACAAUUUGAAUUCGAUUUGCUUCCACCUUUAGACCUAUCAAAAAUGUGUAUUUUUGUUUAAAUUUUAAAAUGUUACACUAACGAAUUUAACAAAAAAAGAUAAUGUUAACAAUUGAAUUUAAAUUUUUAAAUUUGAAAAAUACAGAAAUUAAAUUCUUAAAAGCGAAAACAUAAAAAUUAAAUUUCAAAUGUACAAAGGCUACAUAGACAUAGAAUAUAUUUUAAUCUUCAAAGAAACAUUAUUUAAAGAUUGUGUUUUAGAUUAAAUUUUAGUGUAUAUUGUAAAUAAUGUUUGAAUAUUAAAAUGUACUCAAAUUAUUCAAAUAAAGAAAGGGGCCCACUGGCCCAGUUUGAGCUGAUUUUGUCCUUUUUGGACGUUUUCGCUUUUAAAAAACAAACAAACUUAAAUUAGAACCAAAACAAAACAAACCCAUGUCGAAAAUCGAAAUGGCAGUUUUCGUAAAAUUUAACAAAGAAAAAAUUGGAAAAUGGUACGCCCACCGUGGGGCUCGAACCCACGACCACAAGGUUAAGAGCCUUGCGCUCUACCGACUGAGCUAGACGGGCAAUUUGAAAGUUCACCAAAAUAAUUCAAAAUACCUUUUACUUUGACUAAUUACAUUCCCGCAACAAUAUGUAGGAUUCUAUAAUUGAGAUAUGAACCCAUGUCUACAAACAAACUGUGGAAAGAAAAUAUCUUGGAAGUCAAAACUUGAAAAGUAUUUCAUAGCAAACAACUGUUGUAAAAGAAAAUGAAAAAUAUCAAAUUUUAUAUAACAUAAAUUAUUAGCUUAUAAAAUUUUUUAUAUAAACAUAAAAUAUAUUAAAUAAAAUUAUAAUACAAAAAAAGUACACAAAUAUGAAUUGAGUACACGAUUUUCUGGAUCUACUGUAUAUUAUCGCGUUUGUGCACUAAAGCCCAAGUGAAAGUACAUUUUCUAAUGCUCGGUUUUGAACAUACAGACAUUGUGAUUGAAUGAGUGGCUAAAUUUAAAGCUACUAUGACAAAAUAGAAUCUAAAGAAAGUGGAGCACUCGGACGAUCAUGGCCUGUGCUUCUUCAUUGUUGAUAAUAUCACAACACAAUUCUCUAUUUACUUCCAUCUGCUCCUUUUGAAAACACUGGAUUUCCACAGUUUUGGAAAUACGCAUGCUUUGGUUCAUCAUCUAAGGUUUGAAUAAAUAUAAUUUGCUUCAAUCAAAUUUUCUUGUUGGCCUUGUCAAUCCUUCUUCGUCAUUAAUUCUAUUACUGUGUUUUGAGCUCAAAUUUGCUUGGUUCCUACCAAGCAAAUCAAAGAUUUUCUCUUAUUCCAUUAUCACAUGAUCUUUCAUGCAACAUUAAUCUACCAUUUUAACUUGGUUUAUGAGUAUAUCGUUGGGUGCAAUAGUAAGUCAUAUUGUACUCUAAAAAAAUAUAAAUUCAAACCUGAAAAAUGACAUUAUUGAAACGGACAAUCACUAACCUCAAACGUUCAAGAUCAAAAACUUAUUUAUUCAAAGUCAAUUAAUACCCACUUAGAACCUUUUUUUGUUGAUACUAAAUAACCAAAAAUUAAAUAUAACAAUUUUGGAUAUGACUGGAUUCCAUGAUAUCCAUAUAACAAAUAAUUAAAAUAUAACAUAUAUUAAUGCACGAAUACAUAAAAAUUUACAAAAUUUUAAUAAUUUAAAAAAUCCUCAAUUUUUAUUAAAUCAAUUAAACUUUUUUUACACCCAGUUGACUUUCUGAAUUGAAAAAAAGGUAUUAAAUAAUUUUUUGACCAACAAAAAUCAUCUAUUGUUAAGUUGUAACUACCAUGAUUAGAUACUAAAACUAUAUUAUAGUGUAAAAUAAAAAGUAAACUAAAUACAUUGCACCGCAUCAAAUUAUCCAUCCAAACCCAUCCUAAAUGGUGGCUAAUGACGAUUGAUUCAGUUGAUUAUGAUGAAGCCACAUACCAUGUAUAUAAAAUGCUAACAUGAUAUAAAAAUAUAUAGAAGAUAUGGGAAUAUAAAAAAAUUUAAAAAUAAAAAAGAGUAAAAGAUUAUAACAAUUAUUAAGUGGAUCUAGAUAAUAUAUGGAAAAUCAAUAAAAAUAAUAAAUCUAUACAACUAUCUUUUUGUUUUUUUUGGGUAAACUACCUAAUUGGUCACUAAAUUUUUAGGGCAUUCUCAUUUUGGUCACUCAAAAUGCAAUCUUUGCAAUUUCGUCACUCAAUUUUUAGGGUGCUUUCAUUUUAGUCACCUAACCGUUAAAUCUAUAACGACAAUUAACUGUAUACGCCACAUCAUGAUCACACUUUCAUUUUGGUCACCCAACUUUUAGGCUGCUUUCAUUUUGGUCACCAAAUAAUAUCCUUUUUUUAAGUAUUGGUUAGGAUAAAAAAAGUUAACCAUUAAAGUGAAAAAGCGGUAGAACCUAAAAUAAUGCUUGUACUUGUUUACCCCCUUGGCAAAAGUUUAAUUUUUUUUUUGAAUAUUGAAAUUUUAAAUUUUAAAACAUCAAAAUCAAUUAAAUAAGUUAUUGACGAUUUUUUAUCCCUUGAUAGUAUCAACCGAUUUGUUACAAUAAUAUUGAAAUAAUUAAAUUAAUUAAUUUAGCCUCCUUUUAAAUUUUAAAAUUUUAUUUUAUGUUUCUAAAUUAAAAUAAACUGAAAUAAAUUAUUUUUAAUGAUUGUACAUGAAAUUUAGUUUUUUUAUUAUAUGAUCUCAAGUCUUUCCUACUAAGCUAAAAAUAAAGAAAAAUCUUUACAAUUAAUUUAAUUAAUUAAUUUUAUCUUCCAUGCCAAACAAACUCCAAAAAAAAUUUCAUCACUUCUUUACUAAAACGAAGAACAGACAAUUAAUUUAAUUAAUUGCAAUGAUUUUUCUUUACUUUUAGCUUAGCAUGGAAGAUUUGACAUUAUAUAAUCAAAAGAAAUUUAAGUUUCACAGACAAUUAUUAAAUAUGAGUUAUCGAGUUGAUUUCAUUAAGAAUAAUAUGGAAACAUAAAAUAAAAUUUUUUAUUUUAGAAAGAGACUAAUUUAAUUAAUUUCAAUAUCACAAUGACAAAUCGGUUAAAAUUAUCAAGGGAUAAAAAAUUUUCGACAAUUUAUUUAUUUGGUUUUAUCUUUUGAAAUUAAAAUUUUCAAUAUUGAAAAGAAAAGAAAUUUAGAAUUUUUGACAAUGUGAUAAACAAGUACAAUUUAAUAAUUUUUUAAUACAUUAUUUUAGUUUCUACCGCCUUUUCACUUUAAUCCUCAAUUUUUUUUACCCCAAUCAAAUACUUAAAAAAAUAUUUUUUUUGGGUAACCAAAAUGAAAGCUACCUAGAAGUUGGAUGACCAAAAUGCAAGUGUGAAUAUGAUGUCGUAUGUAUAGUUAAUCACCAUUAGAGAUUUAUCAAUUGGGUGACUAAAAUGAAAAUGCUUUAAAAGUUGGGUAACCAACUAAUCAGUUUACCUUUACUUUAAUCUUUAAUGGUUAUGGUCAAAUUUGAUGACUAUGGUCAAAUUUCAUCUUUAAUCCCUUUACUUUUUUGAGAUUAUACAAGAAUGGUUAAAUUUCAAUUUUGAUCUCUAUAGUUCACUCAAAUUUGAAACUGAAUCUCUAUACUUUAAUUUUGACAUAAUUUGGCACCUCGAUUCUUACAAUGUCAUUAGUUAAUCUAAAUACUUUAUUCUGAUUACAAUGCGUAUGUGAAAUUUUAAGGAUUGUUAACACCAUUAAAAUUCUCUAUUAAAUUCAAGUUCAUUACAGCGUCUUUUUUUUUGUUAUAUGGAUACCAAAUGAGUAUCUUUUUAAUUUCAAAAUGUUACGCUAACAAAUUUAACAAAAGAAUUAUAACAAUGUUAACAAACAAAUUUAAAUUAAGACUAAAUUCCCAAAAAUAAAAAUAUAAAAAUUAAAUUCUAAAUACUCGAAAAAUACUUUAUAAUAUUAUAUCUUUUAAAUUUUCACUUUAUAAUUUAAUUAGAAAAUAAAUAAUUAACCCAAGCGAAGAGAGUAAAACCAUACUAAUACAUACUAAUAAUUAAGAAUUCUCUUAUCAGAAAGAAGAAACACUCUCACUGCUCGGAGCCAGAGGGCAGGGCAGAGACUAUUUUGACCCAAUGAAUAACCAAAAAACUGAAAUAAUAAAAAGAGAACAAUAAUAAGAUAAAACCUUCCACAAGAAUGGAUUUGCCCAUUCGGUGGAGCCUCCAAUUCAUGCGUACUAAUUUGAAUCAAUUCCAAAAGGGAUAUAUAUUCUAAUUUAAACUUUGUAAUUUUGGCAAGAUUUGAUAAUAUAACUAAUGUUACUGGAAUAAGAUUAGAUCGUAUAGACUAAAAACUAAUUGGUAUAAUAAUCUGAACAAAAGGAUUAAACCGGCUAACUCAGAUCCUACUUGAAAUUAGUAAAAAUCAAAAAUUAGAAUAGAAAUCAACACCUGAACUAAUUUAAUAAAUUUCAUUUUUGAAAUUUUUUAUAAAUUUUUUAUUAUUUAUUUAAUUAUUGUUGGUUCGGCAAUUGAAUUGGUCGAACUAGUUGAAUCUGUUUUCGGUGGUUUGACUUGUUCAACCAUUGGUCUGAUUAUUAAAAUACUGAAUAUGACACUCUGAGCUUGUACCAUAUCAUUACUUGAAAGUUUAUAUAAAAUUUUUAAUUUUCAAGUAAUGAUAUGGCACAUUCUUAAAGUGCAACGUCAUCAAACUUUUAUAUUUUUUAAAUUUAGAGAUCAAAAUGAACCUAAUUGUUAAAUUCAAGUGCCAAAAUUGACAAAAAAGUAUAGGUACCAAAAUGAAUCUAGUUACCAAAUUCAGGAAAAAUAUUAUAUUAUCCCAUGACAAAAAUAGACUGUUUUUAAGGAAUCCAAUAACUUUGGUUGCUCCAUGUUAGAAUCUUUGUAGAUAGACCAAACUCUACUAUUUUGAACGAUGAGAAUGUUGGAAAAAUACGGUUUAGAAAAUGUGGUUGUUGCGUAGUGGAAGUUCAAUUUAUUUUUUAAAUUGAGCUUUUGUGAUAUUUACAACAACUAACCCUUUAUUCAAAUUAUACCUAUGUUUUCAGAAUAGGCAGAAUAGGUCAUUCUGAUCUUUCAACUUCUUGAACUUCUUCAUUAAUCUCGACUUUGGGUUGCUAGAGUGUGGGCUUUAUUUGUGAACCAAUUAACACUUGUGAAAACUUUCUAAGACUAAAAACCGAUUAUCUAAUAAAGUUUUUUUUUUACUUUUUAUUUUUUAAAAUCAUUUGAAUUUUAAAUAAUUUAUAUAUAAAUUUUAAUUUAUAAAUAUUUUUUUAUAAUUUUUCUAGAACUUUUACAAUUUUAUAUUUUUUCUAUUCUUAAAAAUUUAAAUUAUUUACUGAUAUAAUAUAAUAAGACAAAAUAGUAUUAAGUCUGUACAGACCCAUUUUGCCCGAGCCCAAACGACCCAAUACCCAAACUCAUUACAAACCCAAAUAACCCAACAAAAUAAAAUCAAGCCCAAAAUGCCCUAGCCCAUUUUCAGAAAAAUUGGCAGCCACCUAACCCUAGGUGCGCCGCACCUAGGGUCUUUGCCCACUGCCACCACCGACUCACUUGCUCCACCUACUCCGCCGCUCCCAUGCCACUUGCACCUGCAAAAAGGAGAAAAGAAGCACAGGCACGCAAACAAAAUAAUAGAAAAAUGUAAAAGCCGAAACACAAUGUAAUAGUUUUUUUAACGGAGAAAUAAAAGAAAGGAGAAGUUAAAAAAGGUUGUUGUUUUCUCUAAUCUUUCUAUUUUAUUUUAUUUUAUUUUUUGUUUAUUAAUCUUUUUUUCCAAAAAAAGGUUUUAAACACUUAAAAAAGGAAAUAAAAAAGAGAAAAGGAGGAGUUUUUUUUACCUUUUUGACGACGCCGGAGUGUUCGGAGGGUCGGAGGGACGAUUCGGCGCAAAAAAGGGAAACUUUUCAGCUUCCCGCCGCCGUGUACGGCGGCGCCGGCGAUCGGCGGCCGAUGGCCGGUUUCUGGGCAAUGCCCGGAUUGGAAGCAGAGAGAGGGAGAAAGGGUUUUCGGGGAUUUUUUGCAGAAGGGGAAGAAAAGCUGAAAUUUUGUUGAAAAAUUUUGGCUUAAAUAGCCUUGUGAAACGACGUCGUUUCACCCAGUCCCCAAACGUCCCAAAACGACGCCGUUUUGUGCUCGACCCGAGAACUGACCCGACCCGCAGGGAGGAUCCGCAUGUUUUUGUUGGAAGGGCUAAUUGAAAGUUUAGCCCUUCCAUUUUUUUAUGUUUUUUAAGUAAGUAUUUUCUAUUUUUUAAUUCGGCCUUAACAUUUGUCGCGUUUUCAUUUGGGCCCUCGUCUGAAUGUCGUUGUUUGGAAAAGAGGGGAAAAUUAUUUGUUUAAUCCCUCUCCGUUACUCGCGUAUUCAGUUUGGUCCUUCACCUUUUAUUUACUAGCGAUUUGACCCCAAAUUUCAGCUUAGUUUCUAAUUUAGUCCUCCAUUUGGCAUUUAGGUUAUUUUAUUAUUGAAUUGAUCAUUUUAAUAUUAUUAUUACUAUUAUAUUAUAUCAUUAUUACUAUUAUUAUUAUUUAUUAUUAUUUACUUAUUUAUAAUUUAUAUACACAUGCAUAUAUUUUUAUAAUAUACAUACAUUAUUUUUACAAUAUAUAUAUACGUAUUUUUUUAUAUUCUAUAAUUUAUACACAUAUCUACAUAUACCUAUAUAUAUAUCUUUAAUUUUCAUAAAUUUAUAUAUAUAUACAUGUUUAUAUAUAUUUUAUUAUAUCUUAUAAAAUAUAUAUUUGCAUAUAAUUAUAUUAUAUAUAUUUCUAUAAUUUAAAUACAUAUCCAUAUAUAUAUAUCAAUACACAUCUCAAUUUCACUAAUAUAUAAAUAUACUUACAUGUUUUUUUUAUCUUACAAUUUUUAUAUACAUAUAUAUAUUACUUUUUUAAUCCUAUUCACUUUCUAUAUUUAUUUCCUUAUUUACAUUUUCAUUAUUAUUUAGGAAGAAUGUUUUAGUUCUAUUUAUUUAUAUAUUUGUUAUUUCGCAUGAUAUUAAUUUGUCCUUUUAUUUUACUUUGUUGUUAUUGUUCGUAUUAUCUAUGUUCACAUUAUUGUAUUCGUUAACAUUUUGUUACGCAUGUUAAUAUCCUUUUAAAAAAAUUUAAAAUAAGGCAAUGUUUUGCGUUUAGAAAGUCGAGAAAACGUGCCCUAAUGUGCUGGGUUUCAAUUUUUGUCGUUCGACCAAAUAGCCAAAUAUCCUUUUAGAAAAUUUCAAAAUAAGUCAAUAUUUUGCAUUUGGAUAUUCGAAAACGUGCUCUAAUGUGCUAGGUUUUGAUUUCUCGUUUGACCAAAUAGCCAAAUAUCUUUUUAAAUCUCAAUCCAUGUCAUUCUAGUUUUUUUAAGGAUCGUACUUUAAAUCUCUUUAAAGUUUUUAAUAUUCGACAUUAAGACAUUAACUAAUCAACUAGGUACCAAUUUUUAGGCGUUACGAGGGUGCUAGUCCUUCUUCGUAUGUAACCGACUUUCGAACCCGUUUUUUCUGAAUUUCAUGGACCAAAAUCGUUGUUUUAAUAAAAUCAAAUCGUUUAUUAAAAACAACCACUUUUCAAGGUGAUCCGAUCACACUUUAUCAAAAAGGAUUGGUGGCGACUCUCAAAUUCGAUUUCAUUUUUCAAAACCCAAAUCGACCCCGUUUUCAUCAAAAAAAUGGUGUCAACAAAGUCAACAUCAUCAUACACAUAACAUGUUAUGUUAACAAAGAAUCAACUGUUACUAAGAAACAUGUCAUCAUGACGGAUAGAACUUAAGGGUCAAUGACAAUUUCCGCUUAUUAAAGAGAUUAAAUGAUAAUUUAUUUAGUUUGAGGAUUCAAUUAAGUGAAAUAAUUAAUUAAAAAUUCAUUUUCGGUACAAACCUUUAAGCCAAUUUAAAUUAUUAAUAUAUAAAUAUAUAACACAAUUAAGUAUAACAUAAAAACAAUAAGAAUAGCAGCAUGCAGUAUCAAAAGGUAAUGAAAAAAAGAAAGAACAAAAAUAAGAAUCCAAUCAAUACCUACAUCCCUUUGGAAGUAAGCAAAGGGAAAAGGAAUCUUUGUUGGAACAAAUAACUUUUGUAAUUUUCCUAAGUGAUGCUAGGAGAUUGAGAUUGGAGUAUGUCUUCAUCUUUUCUUUCUUCUUUCAUACUUCUCAAUUUUCUUCAAAAAGAAAAAGGGAAAAAGAACCUUCAAAAAGUAUACUAAAUUCUGUAAAUUUUUAUUUAUAUACAUUGAAUUUAAUUUAACUUUAAAAUCUUCCCUUAUUUAUUCCAUUUUAAAACGUUUUGAUUAUUAAAUCUAGAUUUUUUACCUUUCUUUAAUAUUAUUAAAUUACGUGUUCCCAAAAGUUAUUUUUAAGAAUAAGUUCUUUCUCAAGGAUUACCUCAAUAUUCGUAGGUAUCAAGUUCCUUUGAAGUUUAUUUACUUAUAAGUUUUCAGCUCCACGUUGAAAUUAGGAUAAUUAUUUUUAUAUGAUUACAAAAAUUUGACACUUACAAGUAUUGAGAUUCUUGUACAACAUUCAACUUUUAAAUUGUCAUAAUUUAAUUUUCUAAUGAGGGCAAAUAAUUAAUAAAGGUCCCUUUAUUUUUUAAAUUACCGAAAUGGGCCAGGUCCUGAAUUAAUUACCAAAAUAGACCAUUUCUCUCAAAAACGCGUCCACGUCAGCGCGUUGUCAGGGGAUAAAGCAAAAAAACGCUUCCUCAAGGAAGUGCUUUGUCCACGUGAACAAAAAUCGCUUCCUUGAGGGCGAGCUUUGUGUCCACGUGGACAAAGCAUUUCCUUGAGGAAGUACUUUCCCCGUUUUUAGGAUUUAGGGUUUUUUUUUGCAAUUAGAGUUAGGGUUUUAGGGUUUUUUGAGUUUUUUGAUUUUAGGGUUUUAAAGAAGCGCUUUGUCCACGUGGACACAAAGCGCGCCCUCAAGGAAGUGUUUUUUGCCCACGUGGACAAAGUGCUUCCUUGAGGAAGCGUUUUCCUGCUUUAUCCCCUGACAACGCGCUGACGUGGACGCGUUUUUAGGGGAAAUGGUCCAUUUCGGUAAUUAAUUCAGGACCUGACCCAUUUCGGUAAUUUUAAAAAUAAAGGGGCUUUUAUUGGUUAUUUGCCCUUCUAAUGACUAUGGAUAACAUUUAAUCUGAAACCCAAUACCAUCAAAUGUCGAGUUUGUUAUGAAAAUUCAAAACAAACGUACAAUGUAAUAUGAAAAAAAUUUAACAAAAAAUUAGAUUAACCUUGUCACGCAUAACUGUUGAGGUUUUAUUAAAAACCUAACAUAACUCUAAUUUAAAAGAACCAACACAAAUCCUCUUUUACUUCUACUCUAGUCUAAGUACAUAAGUAUCUCAAAAUUCUAAUUUCCAAGCAUACCGUAAUAAAUGCCCGUUUAUUAAGAUAUGAACAAGGACAUUUUGUCGAGAACACAACAAUAUUGGAAUAUUCUCUCGUGGCUCAAAUUGGUGGUAACAUGGGUUUAGACUUUACUUGACGAUAGAUCCAUUCUUAGUUAAUGCAAGUCGGUUUUUAUCAUGCUAGCCGAAUUGAGAAAGUUACUUUUGUGCCAUCAUUCAUAUAUGCACUAAUUGAAUUAUAGAGAUUUGAGACCCAUAUGUUUCAUCUCUCAUGCGGCGUAGCAAUAAUAACACUACAAGAUAUAACAUUGUUGACCAAUGGACAAACAUCUUAUAAUGGGAAGUUUUUAGUACAAUUUAAGGCAGAUCUUUUAUCCAGCGUUUGGAACAGAUAUUGACCUUAAGUUCAAUUUCCAAAGGCUUCAAAUUAAGUUAAAAUGGUUGAUGACCUUCAAGCAUCUCCCACAGAAUCUACACUCGGUGAUAUUGGCCGUUCUUAAGUUGAUCGAAGGUACAUUGAUGCCAAAAAAGUCUAGUAACUUAGUUUAUAUCAUGUACCUCCUUUAUUAUCAAAUUUCAAUUAGCUAGUAUAUACAAUUAGGGGUCUAACGUCUUAGCAUACCUUUAUAGGGCGCUAUACAAGGCAUGUAGAGUGGGGAAUGAGUAAGUAAAUGAUCACAUUGUGAUUUUACAAUUGCGGGGAUGGUAUUGACUUUCGUGGGUUACAUCUAUACCUUCUCAAGCUUUCAAUUUCCCUUUUGGUAGAAGGUAAAGUCAAGGUGGCAAACAAGCAAGUUCAAGCAGGCUUGGAUCAGGUCGUUUUCAGAUUCAAAUUGUUUCUCAAGCUCAAGCUUUCUUGGGCCAUUUUUUUUUAGGCUCGAGCCCUUUCGAAUUUGAGUUUAUCUAGCAAGCAUCCAAGAUUUGGCGUAUCGAUCCAUCUCCUCCACAAUUGCAUGUAGUGGAAGGGUUGGUUUGACAAGCCUUUCCAACCAUAUGCAUUUCACACUAUUGCCAUCUAAUUCAUUAUUGUCCUUAUUCUUAGACGAGAUGACACCCAAAAAUUGACGGCACUUGUACUUUGUGUUGACGUUAGUAGUUCUGAUUAUUGCAUAUCUAUCGAUAGGAAGGUUGAUUAUUAAAGUGAUAUCCUCUAGCAUUAUAGUCACUUCCUUACAUGGAAAAUAGAUGUGUUUUCGACUUCCAUCUUUCCUACAAGGCGACAAGUAACUUAGGUAUUUUUGUAAAUUUCGUCAUUGUAAAUGUUACAUAUAAAUUAAUCGUUUUCAAGCACUCUUUGGCAGUGCAUCUUCCUCUAGGAAUUUCAAACUAUCCUAAGCACGAACAACUUAACCGCUUCGAUGUUCAAAAUUCAUAAAAAUAAUAUUUAAUUUCAUAAAAUCUUAAAAAUGUUUUCACAAAAAUAACAAAACUAAAAACAAUUUAGUUGGAACUUUUACAUUGAUGGCAUGGUUUGCUAUGUGUUGUUCCUAAAAUCUUAAUAUAAUCAUUUUUCUCCAAAAACACAAAUUUUUUUUUGGGAUAAUUUAAUAGGAUUUUGGUUGAGAAAAAAAAGAAAAAAAAUGGGUGAGUACUUACGAAGUAAAGUAAAGUAUUAUAGUUGUCAACUUUCAUUUAUUAAAUAAGUUUUUUGAGACAACAAAUAAAUAAAGUAUCUGGUCAAAUUUCACAAUCCUAAACUCACAUCUAUAGAAGUCAAGGUCUAUCAACUGCAUUUGUAGUACCUUCCUCUUUAUAGUUACAUACUGUCGUGAUGAUUUGAACUUUAUACCUUUGAAUCUUAAAAAUAUAAAAUAACUUUUGAAAACACACAUAAAUAAUAUUAAAAAAAGUACUAUAUUUGGGUUAAAACUCAAAUAUUGUGUAUAGAAGAAAAAUAAGGCAUUGUUUAGUGGUAGCAUAACUGGUAUGGAUAAAAAACAAUAAUGGCAACUUGAGUAAACCUAGCUAGGCCUCUUUCUUCUCUCUCAUCUAAGCAUGUUUUCAUGAUUGAAACUUGGAAGUGAGGUUAAUUAGAUUCUAUAAUUGUUUAAUAUAGAAUAUAUUGUUAAUAAAAUACUAAGUUAAAUAUUUCACAAAAAUUUUAAAAAGUUUAAAAUUCUCUAUAUUCAUAAGCUUCAACUACAACUUGUUUCUACACUCAAAAAUAAGGAGGAAAAGAAAACAGAAACAAGACAACUGACGACAAAGCUUCUUUUCCAUGAAGUAGAUAUACUGUCGAGAAUGUUAAUGACUUAAUGACAUACUAAGAGUAAUUAGAUGUCAAUUAUGGUGAAAAUUUUAAUGGUGUAAACCCCAUACCAACUUAAAUUUAUUUUUUAAUCCUCAAAUUACUUUGGAUAAUCAACUAUGAGAAUAAAUUUUAAUGAUAUGUGGGGAUCACUGUCUUUUUCUUUUGAUUUUCUCUUACUUGAAAAUUGAAUAAAAAUUCAAAUUUGUAUAUAAUUUUUUUUUUAUUUUAAAACUUUUUAGCAUUUAAAAUUACUUUUGAAAACCUCUAAAGCUCUACCUUUGUUAGUGAUCUUUUAAGGGUAUAUAAAUAUUGUUUUGAUUUUUUACUUUUUAAACUUUUAGCAUUUAAAAUUAUUUUUUAAAGUUAUACCACAUUUUAGUAGUUUCUUAAGCAGUUGGAUCCCUUGGCAGCUAACAAAGUUAGUUUUUUAAGGUUGUAUUUUUAUUAUAGGCUUAAAUUUUAAAUUGGUAUUUAAAUUAUACCAUUUUUUAUUUUAAUAUUUAAAAUUUUUUUAUCACAAAAUAGUGCCUAAACCACGUUUUUUCCCCAAAUUGGUAUUCUUAUUUGUCAAACCGUUAAAUAUAUUUUAAAAGAAGAUUAACCCACAAAUUUGUACGUACAUUAUGUAUUUUUUUUUAUUUUGAUACCUAAAUAUUUUUUUGUCACAAGUGAUACCUAAACUAUUUUUUUCUAAGUUGAUAUUUUUGUUAGUUCAAUUGUUAGUUUAACCAUUAAGUCUACUUAAAAAAAUUAAUUAAAAAUUGACAUGUGGUAAAAAAGACAAAUUGUUAUUUUUUUCUUAUAUGUUUUCUUUUUCUUAUUUCUUUUUUCAGAUCUAGAUCGUUGGUUGAACCAAUCAAACCAUUAGUUCUCGAUUUGAUCAAUUCAUCCGGUUCGAUUAAAUAAAUUAUUAAAAAUUCAUAAAAAUAAAAAUUCAAAAUAGAAAAAAAAUCAGUUCAAUUGGUUUUCUUAGCUUUGUUCAAUCAGUCUAUAUCUAUUCACAGCUUAAUCGCUUCAACCCCUAUCUUCGGACCAAUACCCCGACCAUUUCUAGGUACAGUUUUGGAGACACUGUGAUCAAUGAAAUAACUUUUUCAACCUUGUUAGGUAGAACAAGCGAGCGAUUAUGUUCAAAAAUAAAAUUAAUCGCCAACCUCUCUCAACCUCUGAAAGGAAAAUUUCGAGCAUUGCUAUUAUUGUCAAUUCGAUCAUUGGUUCAAUUCUAAAAAUAUUGAUCUCAAUAUAAAUUAUUAGUUUAUUAUAUAUUAAGUAAAUUUUUAUUAUAAUGAAAUAUUUUAGUUAAAUUUUCAGUAAAAUAUUUGUUAUUGUUACCUGUUAGUGUAAAAAUUAUAAAAAAAUUAUUAUAUAAAAUCAAAUGUGUUAAAUAAUUAUGUUAUAAAAAUAACAUAUUAAAAUUUAAUUGUUUUUAUUCUUAAAAUAAUUAAAUAGAGAAACUUGAUUUUUAAAAGUUUGAAAAAAAAAAAGACUAACAAAGGCUAGUUCUUCAUUGUUUUUGAAAAGUACUUUUGAAAAGUGUUGUGGAAAAGUUCUUUUGAAAAAUUUGAGUAUUUAGUAUUACUGUCAAAAAAGUACUUUUGAAGAAUAAAAUGUCCAUUUUCGACAUGAUAUUAUAAAGUAACAAAUAUGUAUUUAAAUAAUGUUCAAAUUAGUUAAUAUUAUGAUAUUUUAGCAAAAAUAUAAAAAUAAUUUAUUAUAACUUAUUGUUAAUAUUUUAAUAUAUAAUAUUAAUUUUAAAUAUUUAUAAGUAAUUAAUAUUAAUUAUUUAUUAAAUUUAAUUAGAAUAUAUAAACUAUAUUUAAAUAUUUAAAUAUAAUAAUUAAAUAUUUGUAAUUAGAUAUUGACACAAUUGUAUUAUUUUAAAAAUUAUUUUUUUAUUUUUAAUUAAUGCUUUUAACACAUUUGUAUUAUUUUAUUUUAAAAUGUAUUUGAAUAUAUAACUCAUAUUAGAUAUUAACAUAACAUAGAAAACAUAAACCUAACAAAUUAAAAUAUUACAUAUAUUUGGAUUAAAGUUUUAAAAAGGGAUAAUAUUUAUAUAACAAAUAUAAAUACUAAAAAUUUUACAAUAGCAUUUACAAUUUAAAGUGAAUACAUUAAACUAGAAGCUAUAACAUCUCUUGUUAAUUCCAUUUCAAAACCACUUGAAUUGUUUGAUUCACCGUCAUCAUCACCAUCAUCAUCGUCGUUGUCAUCAUCAUCACUUUCUCGACCAUGCGUAUUUUCUGAAUCAAUAAUAUUCUCAUGGUUUAAUCCUAAAACAUGCAUAUAGGAUUGCUAAAUGGAUCUUGUUUUGGGCGGGGAGAGUACAUAGUGCAACAAUAUCACUACAUAAAAAACAAUUAGAAAAAUAAGGAAAUACUUACAAACCUAAUUGUUCAACAACUGUUAAGAAAUGACCCCAACAAGUAUACCGCUACGGAACAAGACCGAAUCUAUUCCCAUGUAUAUCAAGCAAUGCAACUACUAGCACUAGAAGUUGUGUAACCAAAAAAUAGAUCACAGUGGGAGAUCUCUAAGACUGGAUUCUGCAAAAGCAUAGCCAAAGGGACAAACUGUCAAAAUAUGCAGAGACUGAAGGAAAGAAUUAAAGAAAACAAAAUAUAUCCUCACAUCAUAAAACCAAUUAGCUUGAGCCACCAAGCAUCUCCUACACUUUGUUUAUAGCCUCCAACAGCCCAUAUAACAAGAUAUGCAACUUGUGAAAGAAAAACAAGUAGGGAAAAGAUGAUAACAGGCCACAGUAACAAAUAUUUCCUCCUAAAACGAAAUCCUACAAGAAAGUAAUCCCAUGUUACUUUAUAAGAAAUGAAAACAACUUCAAAUAAAACCAUUAACAUACAAUAAUCAGAAAAAGAAAUUAAACUUAUAAAGAAUGCAAGAAGUCAAGAAAUAUCAUAAACCCCUCUUCUAAUUUUCUUAUAGACUUGGGGUUAUGUAACAUUAAAGAUUGCUGAAUUCCACAAUAAGCACUUAGCAAAGUUCAUUAGAUACGUCCAGCAAAAUCUAAAGCACCAACGAGAUAAAAGUCGUAAGAAAAAACAAUGAACAAACAACUGAGACCCUGCUGAAUUAUGGAAAAUUGGAACUACAAAACUACAAAGAUAAAGCAAAACAUUACCAGAAAAUCUUCAUCACUUACCUAUUUUAGGUGCAGUAUACUGAAUGAGAAGGAAAGCGAUCAAAUCAACAAGAGAGAUCAAACUCCACUUGAGCAAUGAAGCUUCAAGAAAGACAGAACAGGUAAAAACUAUUAAUUAAUUGAUGACAGAGCAUAUAUGUAUUUGUAUAUGCAUACACACGACAAAAAAAUGCAGUUUCAAACAGUAACUCAUAAAAGAAAUAAAUGAUCUCAACAUCAGUAGAGAAUUUUUCUUGUUGGGAGUCUUCUAUGUAGAGCAUUCUGUAAGUUAUCCAUUUACAGGUCUCUCAACUUAUAAAAUUUAAAAUUAACACUCUAUGGCACUCUACUAAAACCGUGCCUCGAAGCUCAUUAACAAACCAACCUCCCCCUCACCAAAAAGAAUACCAAUGAAGUUUUCACUUUUCAAGUGACUUUUAACUGCAAAAUCCCUUCUACCCUUCUUACCUUAUCAGGUUCCAAAAUAACAAAGACUGGAUGAUGUCCUGUGUCACAAGCUAAUUUUAAACUAGGUUCAGGUACCCAGAAAUUAGAUUUUUACAGUCUCAAAAACUUGAAACUUACAAUUGAUACUGGUCUAGUUCAAAGAAUGACCCCUUAAAGUGAAUUUUCCAAACAAUAUAUGAAAAGAACAGAAGGUUGCAUAUAAAUGCAAAGGCUAGUGUUCCCAUUAUGAACUCAUGAGCAACAGACAAAAUCCUUACUCUUAGACAACAGUUUGGAUAAUAAUAAAAAGGGUCAUUUAGACUCUCCUCAACUUCCUAAGACACUCCCUUAUGGAAUUCAGACUUGGUUAUUUCUCUAUGGGACAUAGCAUAGCUCAAAUUAUACUGAUAAACACGAGCACUCUAAGACAUAGCUCAAACAAUGAUUUUAAGGAGAAAGAAUUUCUGUAAAAUAAGUCAAUUAAUUUCUAUAAAAUUUCUGUAAAAAUCAAACCAUCAAAAAACAACUAAAAACUACUAAAGCAUAAUGAAUAAUUAAAGAGAAGAAGAAGAAAAGAAACUCACCGGCGGAAGAGGAACAAAGAACCAGAGAAAAGAACUUUGAAAGAGAAAAUGUGAAAAAAAAGGGUAUAGCCAAAGAACCAGAGGAAAGAAUGUUUUUUGGGAGAAGACAAGUUAAAAAUGGAAAUUAUCAGCCAAAAGCACUUUUGGCUGAAGAAAAAUUAAAAUUUUCAACUUUUCCAUCUGCCAAAAAAUACUUUUUUUAAGCUGAAAAUUAUUCUGAAAUAAUGUUUGUUCUUUAUUACUUUUAAGGGAAAAUGAUUUUUCUUGCAAAAGUCUAUCUGAAAAGCAAAGGAGAACGGAGCCUUAGAAGACUAACAAGUCAAGAAAAAAAAAAAGUAAAGAGUUCAAUUUAUAUAGCGGAAGCGAUUGUGCCAAAGAAGCUACAAAAAAAUAACAGAAAGAGCGCUCGCAAAGUGUUUGAGUAAAUACUCUCAAUUCUUAUUCACAAAGAAUAAUGAAAUAAUUCAGGAUUGAGUACAAAUGAGGGGAGGCUCUCUAUUUAUAGUUGAGCUCCCCCAAAACCGACGGUUAAGAUACAAAUACAUCGACGGACGAGAUUAACCAUAUUCCUUUAUUUUAGGAAUUUACAAGAUAUGCCAUAUCAAAUCUAACUAAAUGAAAAAAAAAAGAAAAAUAAAGCAUACGAUAAUUUAGGUCUGGGGCUUGAUUUAGGUUCCAUGUCAUAGUUGCAGUUAAUUAUUUAGGUUAAAAAUUCAUUUUCCAAUAGUGGAUUAUUGAUUGAGUAAGUAACAGUAUUGAGUUGACAUAAUUAAUAAAUUAACUUUAUUUUCAUAAGUUUAAUGGUUCAAAUAAUUUGGAAUCGCAAUAAAAUUACACCACUAAAUUUCUCACGAUAAUUACCACCAAUAUAAUUGUAUCGGAAAAAAAAAUUACUGUUGCAUUUUAUAAAUUGUUUAUGUAUAAUUUUAUAAAGUACUGCUUCACUAAUAAAUAAAUAAAUAAAUAGAAAAUUUAAACUAAAUACAAAUAAUUUUCAUCAGUGAUGUGAGAUAACAUAUGAUUUAUUCACAAUGCACAGAUGCAUUGAAUAUAAAUAUUUAAUAUUUAUAUUUUAUCAAUUCUAUCUAUAAAUAUAAACAUAGUAGAAAUAACUUUUCACCCAAUCCAAAUAUUUGGUUUCAACAAAUUGGUAGUUACUCACUUCUUCAUUGAUAUGAGAGUUCAACCACAUUCAGUUCAUUUUUAUAUGAAUAACUUAAAAAUAUUAUUUAAUUAUAAAAAUAAUUUGGGAGAAAAAUUAUGUAUGAAAAUGACUUGUUUGUUAUAGCAGUAAUUAGUGCUGUUUGACCAAUUGGCGGCACUAUCCCUUUUUUCCCCCUAAUCAUGACCCAAUCAUUACUUUUUUUUUAAAUUCCUCUUGCUCCCGCCAUUGUGUUAAACAACAUCCGUAUGUAUUUUUUGAAAUAACCGUGAAAAGUUUGGUUAUUCAUAGUGGAGAAAAAAAUGAAACAAAAAAUUUAAUGGGUCUUGCCAGUCUGGCAGGGGCAUCAGUCCAAAAUUUUUUUUUUAAAUUUUUGUCAAUUCGUCGGUGUAUCAAGCGGCACCAACGGUAAGUUGCCAAGGAAAUUCUUUUUAAAUGUGUGCCGCCAGUGUGUCAAGUGACACCAUUCAAAAUAUAUAACCCCAUACCGGCCAAAAAAUGGUAUCUGUUGAAUGUUUUGGUUUUUAUUGAAUUUUCGAUAUCCGUUUAAAAGAGAAAGAAAAAAAAAAAGAAAAGGGAAGAUUUGUGUUUAGUAGGAGUAUUAGAAUAUAGGAAGUUGUUAAUUAGUUAUGAGUCUAGUAAGGUUGUUGAGAAGUUUAGACUAGUCAACAAAGUCUAUAAAUACUAUAAGUUGAGAAUUCAGAAGUAAGCAAUUUUGAAUACAAGAGAAAGAAAUUCAUUUUAUCCUCUCGUUUAUUUCUGUUUGGCUAGUUCUUUCAUGGUAUCAAUCGCCAUUUGAUUCUGGAUCUUGUCUAUCAUGGCUUCCGCUGAUUUCGUAACUGGUGAGUCUAGCUCUGCAGUAUUCUCCGGCGAUCGCGUCACGACCGGUCUUCCUCGGCAUGAAGUGGUUAAGCUUGAUGAAGGCACCUAUAUUCAAUGGCGCAAAUAGAUCAAAUUAAUAGUGGAUGGAUAUGGACUUACAGGAUUCUUAGAUGGCACCGUUGUUCCACCGUCGCGGUUUAUGCCUCUGCCCGAUGGUUCGCGUGCUCCAAAUCUGGUAGCACAGGUGUUCCUACAGCAAGAUAGGCUUCUGACUUCAUGGUUGUUAUCAACUGUAAGUACAUCUCUUCAAUCGUCAUUUGAUGAUGCAUCCACGGCGUGUGAUAUGUGGAACAUGGCGAUAAAUUUGUUUGCGACUGACACUGGUGCAUAGCAGUCACGCAUUCGGCAUGAGCUUCAUUCUUUGAAGAAAGGUAACCUUUCCAUUAAAGCUUAUGUUGCUAAAAUUAAAGAUCUGUGUGCUAUGUUAGAUGCCUCUGGUUCUCGUCUCUCUGAUGAAGAGAAGAUUGAGGUGAUACUCGCGGGAUUACUGUCAGAGUUUGAGGCGGUUAUCUCCUCCGCUAGGCUGUCGACAGGUGUUCUGUCGUUACAACGUGUGGUCGAUGCUCUAGUUGAUUGUGAGAGCCGUCAAGCUCAGGUGUUGCAGGAGGUAAGUUUGAAUGCAAAUCUGGUUGAGGAUGCGCCGUCGGUUGAAGGAGGAAAUCGUGGCGGCCGUACGUCUGUUCGUGGCCGUGGCAGGACCUUCCGAUCUCGCAUUCAAUGCCAGAUCUGUAGUCGUUUUGGUCAUGUAGCUCAGAAGUGCUACUAUCGUUAUCAUAAAGAGUCGAAUAAUCAAGGGGAUCCGUCGGGUGUUGAGAGAGCCGCAUUUGGACCAUGUGCGCAAGAAGAAGAUGAGCAGUAUGUGGCUCCUUAUCCCAAAAGCCAAAGAACAAUUUAUGGACAAGGGAACUAUGCAAGUCAAAAUAGGAAUGGUGGUCAAAAUUGGAGUGCUAGCAUGCAGAGUGAAAAAUUAGCACGUAGGCCACAGGUGUCAUAUCCAAAUGAGUAUGGCCGGCCAUAUGGAAACCAUUUUAAGCCAAAUUUGCGUUAGUUUGGACAUGAUAAUGGGCCUGGUUUUAAUGGCGAUGGGAAUAAUGGAAAUGCCUCAUUGAAUUUUAUUGCUGGAAAUGGACGGUGUGGGUUGCAAGGGCCGAAUGUGGUAAAUUCCACUCAUGGGCCGAAUAUUGACCCAAAUGCAAAUGGGGUUCCGUCGUCUAAUUUUGUUCAAGUUGAUCAAAGUGAUCCCGGCUCACCUGAACCGUUUGGCGUUGAUAGAGUUUUACGAUUUACCAAACCGUGUGCUCGGGUUUGUACUGGGUUCGAACCAUGUAUUGGGCUUCCUCGGCUAGGGGACUUACAUGCAUCUGAUUAUUCUGAUCCUUCAGAAUCUGGCUCUCAUGUCAAUACUGCUCAACUUGGGUUUGGUACUAGUAAAGAUGACCCAUACGUUCCCGUGCAAGGUGGCACCACAACUUGGUAUCCUGACUCGGGAGCUAGUCAUCAUGUCUGUCGUGAUGUGUCAGCUUUACGUGAUGUCACGCCAUAUUCAGGUACGUCAUCUCUUUUAAUGGCUGAUGGUACUCCUGCGGUAAUUUCGUCAAUUGGUACUGCUAUUUUACAUACUCAAUAUAAGUCGUUGCGAUUAUCAAAUGUCUUAUGUGUGCCAAGUAUACGGAAAAACCUCUUAUCCAUCUCACAGUUUGCUCGUGAUAAUGGUGUGUUUUUUGAGUUUCAUCCUAACCAUUGUGUUAUUAAGGAUACGAUGACUCGGGAGACAUUGCUGACGGGCCGCAUUCAUGAUGGACUUUAUCACUUUUCUGUGCCAGUGGGUUCUACUCCGUCUACGGUUGCUCCAUUUGUUGCUCAUUCGCAAGUUCUACAUGUAGUUUCAAAUAAUAAUGUGUUUGCUUUAUGGCAUAAUCGUUUAGGCCACCCAUCAACUUCUGUGGUCAAAAUAGUUUUAAAUAAAUGUAAUGUUGCUUCAAGUAAAAAUAGUUUGGAUGGUAUAUGUACUGCAUGUCAAAAAGGCAGGUCACAUAAGUUGCCCUUCUCCCAUUCGACUACUAGCUACCGUCCUUUUGAGUUGGUUGUUUCUGAUCUUUGGGGUCCUGCACCUGUUGCAUGUGGUGAUAAAAGAUAUUAUGUUUCGUUUAUUGAUAUGUGUACUCGGUUUACUUGGGUUUAUCCUUUACGUCAAAAAGCUCAAGCAGUAGAAUGCUUUACUCAGUUUCAAUAGUUAAUUAAGACACAGUUUGGCAAGUCUAUUAAGCAGUUCCAGAGUGAUUGGGGAGGCGAAUACCGUGGUUUUACGUCUGUCUUAGAAUCUCAAGGAAUCAUACAUCGACUAACGUGUCCGUAUACUUCAGAACAAAAUGGAGUGGCUGAGCGUAAGCAUCGCCACAUUGUUGAAGUGGGUAUUACAUUGUUGGCUCACGCAAGUUUUCCUCUGGAAUACUGGGGGUAUGCGUUUUGCUGUGCAGUUCAUCUUAUAAAUCGACUUCCUACUGUUGUACUUCAAGACAGUUCUCCGUUUAAGGCACUAUAUGGACAUGAUCCGACCUAUGAUCAUCUUUGAGUGUUUGGCUGCUGUUGUUAUCCUUACUUACGUCCGUUUGUAAGGAAUAAAUUGGACUUUCGGUCUCAGCCGUCUACAUUGUUGGGAUACAGUCCUCGUCACAAGGGAUAUCAAUGUUUUUUACCAGAUGGUAAGGUUAUAAUAUCAAGGCAUGUGGUAUUUGAUGAACAGAGAUUUCUGUUUGCUGAGACUAUUCCAGACAAGUCUAUGUUGACGACCACUCAGACUAGUGCGACUGCUGUUCCUCUCAUGUGGCCGUCUUAUUCCUCAACUCUUGAGCCUUGCAUGAUGACACAGUCUUUACAAGGGUUGCAAUCUCCGUCUGCUGAUCCUGCAUUAGGUGUUAAUUUAAAGCAGUCUCAGUCUCGUGAUUCUUCAGCUGAUGUCGGGACUGGGUCGGGUAAUCUCCCAGUUCAUGGUUCGUCAGCUAAUGAUGGGACUGAAUUGAGUGAUCCUCUAGCAGUGCAUGGCUCGGGAUCAUCAAGUGAUAAUUCUCAUUCUACUAUGAGAAUGUCUGCAAGUGUUUCAUCGGCAUUUGAUAGUCAGAUUAGUAGGCCACCUAUGGGUAAUACUCACCCAAUGGUCACUCGAGCUAAAGCGGGGGUUUACAAGCCUAAGGUUUUAAAUGUUGAAGCUGUUGAACCGACUACGAUUGAAGAAGCUCUGGCUAUUGUUGAGUGGCGCGAUGCUGCGCAAGCUGAGUAUGAUGCUCUUAUGCGUAAUUCCACAUGGGAGCUUGUUCCCACUCCGUCUAAUCGUAAGAUCAUUGGGUGCAAAUGGUUGUUCAGAAUCAAGAAGAAUUCUGAUGGUACUAUUGCUCGACAUAAGGCUCAUUUAGUCGCGAAAGGAUGCUCCCAAGUUCCAGGUUGUGACUUUAAGGAAACGUUUAGUCCAGUGGUCAAACCGGCUACUAUCAGAGUUAUUUUCUCUAUUGCUGUGUCUAAGGGGUGGUUGCUUCGGCAAGUUGAUGUGAAUAAUACGUUUCUAAAUGGCGAUCUGGACACUGAAGUUUUUAUGCAUCAACCUCCUGGUUAUGUUCAAUAUGACUCACAUGGUAGACCUUUGGUGUGUCGUCUGAAGAAAGCGUUGUAUGGUCUUCGUCAGGCUCCUCGUGCCUGGUUUGAAAAGUUAAAAGGAUUUCUACUCUCUGUGGGGUUUGUGGUAUCAAAGUCUGAUGCUUCUUUGUUUGUUCGAGUGGUAUCAGCUUCAACAUUGUAUGUUCUGGUAUACGUUGAUGAUAUCAUUAUUACUGGUGAUGUGCCUUCUGUUAUAGAGUGGUUUGUUAAGUUGCUGAAUAAUAAGUUCUCACUUAAGGACAUGGGUGAUCUCCAUUAUUUUCUUGGGAUAGAGGUUACUCGUUCUUCCUCCGGUUGUCUUCAUCUAUGUCAGAAGAAGUAUAUUCAUGAUAUUCUCAUAAGGUGCUCGAUGGAAAAUGCGAAGAGUGUUCACACUCCGAUGAUUAGUUCCUCUAUCUUAACUAGAGAUGGUGGGGAACGUUUGGAGGAUCCAACUGAAUAUAGGAGUCUUGUAGGAGCAUUACAGUAUGUUACUCUUACGCGGCCUGAUGUUGCGUAUGCUGUAAAUCGAAUAUGUCAGUUUAUGCAUUGUCCCACUUCCAUACAUAUGACCGCUCUGAAGCGGAUUUUGAGGUAUCUAGGUGGAACGAUUGAUUUUGGGAUUGUAUUUCGUCCGUCUACCUGUUUGUCAUUAGUUGGAUAUGCUGAUGCAAACUGGGGUUUAGAUUUUGAUGACCGGAGAUCUACUACUGGAUACUGUGUGUAUUUUGGACAUUCUCUUGUCUCGUGGUGUACGAAAAAACAGCAGGUUGUUGCUCGGUCUACUGCUGAGGCAGAGUACCGAAGUCUUGCUGCAGUUACUAGUGAGGUUACGUGGCUUUUAUCGUUACUUCAAAAGUUGCAUGUUCAGUCUACUAGCAUUCCUGAUAUUUGGUGUGAUAGUUCUGGGGCGGUUGCAGUUGCUGCUAAUCCUGUUCUUCAUUCCAAGUUUAAGCACGUUGAGUUAGAUUUAUUUUUCGUUCGUGAAAAAGUAGCUAAUGGUAUUAUUGCUGUUGGCGAGGUUCCAGCUUGUGAUCAAGUUGCUGAUGUUCUUACUAAACCGCUUUCACUUUCGAAUUUUACUCGAUUUCAGAGUUUUCUACAGGUGUUACCUGUGGAGAAGAUGGAUGAAUAUUAGAAUAUAGGAAGUUGUUAAUUAGUUAUGAGUCUGGUAAGGUUGUUGAGAAGUUUAGACUAGUCAACAAAGUCUAUAAAUACUGUAAGUUGAGAAUUCAGAAGUAAGCAAUUUUGAAUACAAGAGAAAGAAAUUCAUUUUAUCCUCUCGUUUAUUUCUGUUUGGCUAGUUCUUUCAAGGAGGGUAGAAAACAAUGAAAAAGAAGAAAGAUUUGUAUUUUUAAUUUUAAAAAUCAAGCUCGUGUUUAUAAGGUUAGUUUCUAGUUAUUUUGUAUGAAAUUAUUAUUUUUUAAUAGGAGCUACUAUUUUUUUUCAUUUUUAAUUUAUUUUACAGAUAUUGUAUUGAAAAUGAAUAACCAACUCUUCAUAUACGUUCAAUUCAAGAUUAUUUUACAAAUACUGGAUGGUUAUAUUUUUUAAUCUUGCCAACAAAUGGGAAUGAGGUUUAGUAAGAUGCAAAAGUUGAAGAUAUGAAACAAAAUAUAUUAGUGCAAAAAUAACUCGACAUUGUGGGAAGAGGAUGUUCAGACUAUUUUACAAAUUUAUAGUUUCGUCAAAUCAUAUCAAAUUUAUCGAGAUGAAACUUGUAGAUGAUGAAGAUGUUAAAACAAUGGUUGCAUUUUGUUACUCGACAGGGAACGUAAACGCUGAACCAAUAUUUUAAUCAUUUAAUUUUAUUAUUUUAAUCAAAAUUUUAUUAAAUUUUUAUAUAAAUUUUAAUAAUAUAUGUUUUACAUAAUUUUCUUAAUUAAUUAUUAUAUUUAUUUUUGUGGGAUUACAUAAAAAAUAGUAUAUUAAAUCUAAAAAAAUAAUCUUAAAACACUUCCAUAUCUUUUUCUCGUUUUCACUCCAUUCUUCUAACUCGCGUUUCUUCUACUACAAAGCCUUCUCCACCACGACCACCACCAUAUCCACUUUCGCCUCAACUUUUUCUAUCCCGAGGUAGGGUCCCACCGUCGAAUAGAAAUCUCGUCUUCCUCAAGUCUCUUUCUCAUAAAUACCUCUUCUUCUUCACCCAACUACCCCCUCCUCUUCUCCUCCUUUAACUUCCCUGUAAGAACUCACUCAAAACCACAUUAAACCAACCAACUAUUCCUUAUUUCUUCUUCUCUUUCAUUUUUUUUUCAAAACCCACAUUUUUAUUCUCAAGAAAAAAAAGAACAGAGAAAAGGGAAACUGAGCUGCUUUUAAUUGAUCAUGAACAAUUUUCUUCUCUUUACUCUCUUCUUCCUAUUCUGAAACCUAAACCCUAUCAUUUCACUUUCCCCUAACGGUCUUUCUCUCCUCUCUUUAAAAUCAGCCGUCGACCUACCCGCCGGUCACGACUCACCUUUCACCGACUGGAACAAAAACGACGCCACACCCUGCCGUUAGUCUGACAUUUCCUGCAUAAACAUUACAGGCUUCCCCGACCCACGUGUUGUCGGGAUCGCCGUUUCCGGUAAGAAUCUCAGGGGUUAUAUUCCGUCAGAGCUUGGAACAUUAAUUUACCUCCGAAGUUUGAAUCUUCACAAUAAUAACUUUUACGGUUCCAUACUGGGCCAGCUGUUCAACGAAACGUUGCUUCACAGCUUGUUUUUGUACGGUAACGAUCUUUCCGGUUCGUUGCCUCCAUUGAUUUGCAAUCUUCCGAUGUUACAAAACCUUGACCUCUCCAACAACUCGCUGUCGGGUUCUUUGCCUGAGAAUCUUAAGAAUUGCAAACAGUUACAGAGGUUGAUCCUAGCUCAAAACAAGUUCUCGGGUCAAAUUCCCGGUGGGAUUUGGCCAAAAACGAAAAACUUAGUUCAGCUCGAUCUUUCCUCCAAUAAAUUUAAUGGGUCGAUUCCCAUACCAUCAGGGAGUUAAAUUCAUUGUCGACGACUCUCAAUUUGUCUUACAAUCACUUGUCUGGUAAGCUCUCGAAAACAUUAGGUGACUUGCCGGUUACUGUCAGCUUUGAUCUCAGAAACAAUAAUUUAAGCAGUGAAAUACCAAAAACUGGAUCGUUUGCUAACCAGGGACUAACGACAUUUCUAAACAAUCCUCUUUUAUAUGGGUUUCCUCUUCAAAAACCCUGUACAAACUCCAACAUUAGUCUUUCAGGAACUCAAAGCUCGAGCCGUAAUAAUUUAAGCGAAACUCAAAAAAAAGGUCUUGGACCUGGACUAAUUUUGUUAAUCUCAGCAGCCGAUGCCGCUGGACUGGAUUUCUUAAGGUUGAUUAUAGCCUACAUUUACUGGAAAAGGAAAGAUUCGUCAAAUGGUUGUAGCUGCACUGGGAAAUGCAAAUUUGGUUAAAGUGAUAGAAGAAAACUUUGUUCAUGUGCUUGUAUCAAUGGGUUUCAAAAUGAAGAUUCAGAAAACGAAGAGCAUGAGAAAGGGGAGAGAUCGGCGAAGGGAGAAGGAGAGUUGGUGGCCAUUGAUAAAUGGUUCAACAUUGAACUGGACGAGCUGCUUAGAGCGUCAACUUAUGUGUUGGGAAAGAGUGGGCUUGGCAUAGUUUACAAGAUGGUCCUUGGAAAUGGGGUCCCUGUAGCUGUACGUCGAUUGGGUGAGGGUGGAUUAGAUCAGCAGAGGUACAGGGAGUUUGCUGCUGAAGUUUAAGCCAUUGGGAAGGUUAAGCAUCCCAAUGUUGUGAAGUUGAGAGAUUAUUAUUGGGCUCUUGAUGAAAAGCUUCUUAUUAGUGAUUGAAUCUCCAAUGGCAAUUUGACCAAUGGCAUGAAAGGUUAGCUUCUCUUUUCCCUCUUCUUCCACCCAACUCUACUAUUUCCUUAUUCUCCAUACUUUUUUUUAUUGUUUUUUCAAAAAUCUGUCUUCCUAUCCUUCAAAAACAUCAUCCAAUCAAUCACAAUUUGAUUUAAGUUUUUAUCAUUAUUUAAUACAGUUUGCGUUCUUUUUUUAUUAUAUAUUUUUCUAUGAUGUUGAAGGUUCAACCCUGUUCAUUCCUAACAUUAGUUGAUACAUUUGCUUCUUUUAAUCGUGUGUUUGUUAUGUUAAUAAAAUUUAGUAUUCCUUCCCUUUCUCUUUAUUUGGUAGAUUUAAAAGCAUAAAUAAUGGCAAUAAUAAUAAUAAUAAUAAUAAUAAUAAUAAUAAUAAUAAUAAUCUAACGUUGGUCAUGCUUAAUGAUGAUGAUCUAGAAAUGAAGUGGUCCAAAGUGGGCGACCCCUUAUGAGUGUAAUUACUCACCCACGGGGACUCAUUAGGCCUGCCAGUGUAGUCCCUUUCCGUUACAAUUAUACUCUCAUAGUGCGGAAACUUUUGUUAAAGAUCUUCACUUUCCGAUCUAUUAUAAAGAUGUUGUAUUUUAAAAAUAUAUAUUUAGAAUAAAUAUUAUUUUUAAAAAGAUAAAAAUGCAUGCAUAAUAAAAGAUCUUUUGAAGAAGAAACCACCCAAAGCGGGAAUGGUUUAGUAUAAAUUUAGUGGUAAAUUACAGUAGAAAAUCUAGUAAUUUUUGCUUCUCUCUUAUUUGUUAGUGAGUUUGACAGAUUUGUAGGUUGGUACGGUUGCUUUUAAAUGAGUUGUAUACCAAAUGGUAGGUCCCUCAACAGUCACCUUUGGCCUUGGAUGAUAUGGUUAAAAAAAGAAGUCAAUUUAGUAUUAUCUUUUUAAGUUACCAUACCACACAUGUUACGUAGAAGAAAAAGAGUUUAGAAACUCAUUUGAUAUAUCUAUAAAUACACGUAUGAUUACCCAUUUUCAUUUUUUUCCAAAUUAUGUAGUUUUAUUAUGUCGCUAAUAAAAAAAUUUCAAGCAGAAAUGGUCAGCCACCAACAAACCUUACAUGGUCAACAAGGCUGAAAAUCACAAAGAGAUCCGCUCGUGGCUUGGCCUACCUUCACGAAUGCAGUUCCAGGAAAUUCGUUCACGGCAACGUUAAACCCUCCAACAUCCUCAUUGACCAUUAAUUCCAUCCCUACAUUUUUUAUUUUAGCCUCAACAAACUCAUCACUACCGGCAGUGAUCCCUCUUCCUGCGGUGGCUUCAUUGGCGGACUUCCUCACAAAUCGAUCCAAACCGAACGAACCAACAACUACCGAUCGUCGGAGGCUCGAGCCAUCGGUGGUCGACCCACCCAAAAAUGGGAUGUCUAUUCAUUUGGAGUGGUCUUACUUGAACUACUCAUCAGGAAGUCCCCUGAGCUAUCUUCGACCACAUCCAGUUCUAUGGAAAUUCCAGACCUGGUGAGGUGGGUAAGGAAAGGACUCGAAGAAGAAAACCCCUUGUCGGAUAUGGCAGAUUCGAUGUUAUUACAAGAAGUACAUGCCAAGAAGGAAAUGUUAGCUUUUUUCAUGUAGCGCUUGCAUGCAUUGAAGCAGACCCUGAGAUUGGACCCAGGAUGAAAACUGUUUCCGAGAAUCUUGAAAGAAUUGGAACAUAAAUUAACAGCAUAUAUAUAUCCUUGUUUUGUCUUUUGUCUGUGAAAUAACAUGGUAUACUGAUUUUUGUUAGGGGUGGAAGAUUAACUAUAUUCAUUCCUCUAAAUGGUUUUCCAGAUUAGGCCCAAAACUUUCUUGAAAAUUCAACUGUCCCGGGAGAGCCAAUAGGAGACAAUGUGUCCUUUUUUGGCUACAAUUUUUUUUUUUGUAAUUUUAAAUUUCUGUUUAUAGUGGGAUGUGAUUGUAAUAAUUUCUUUCUUUUCUAACAAUUCAAGGCCACAGUGCUAAGGCAUUAAUUCUAUCUAUAUAGGGUUAAAUGCGCAUUUCAUGGGUUAAGUAUAUCAUUUUUGUUAGAUAUUAUUUUUCUGACAUUAAGUUUGACCCUUUUACUUGACAUUGUUGAUCAUAUGGCAAGUGUAUCCUAUAAGGCCAUGGAAUUUGAGAAGAAAAAUCUAGUACUCAGAUUUUAUGUUUUUAGGAAAACUAGUACUCGGAUUUUAUGGUUUUAGGACAAUAAAUAAACCAUGAGGGAACUCGCCGGUUAGUUGGCAACUUCUAACUCUUAAUAGAAAAAGUAAAUAUAGAUGAAAGUUGAAACUCAAUCAUUCUAGACUUGUAAUGAAAUUAAGAGUAUAGUCUUAUUAGAAAACUCAUUAAUCUAACUUAACAAUUAUAAUCGACAUUCAAUACUUAUACUCCAUAAAUGAAUCACUAACAAAGUAGAAAACUACCCUUAACUACUUAACUAACAAUGAAUUGCUCUUAAUUAAUUCAAGUUACUUAGUUACUUCUAAUAUUCCCCCUCCAGACUCAAUAGCAAUCACAUUCAUCUUAGCAUGAAAAAAAAAAAAAAAAAACCUAUGGUUAACGGUAUGGUCUACUUGAUCAUUCCCAAGUACAUAGUUGACCUGAAGUUGUUGCUGAGCACCUUGUCACGCACAAAAUGUAAGUCAAGCUCAACAUGCUUAACAUGAGCAUGUAGCACUGGAUUUGCUGCCAAGGACACCGUGCUGGAAUUAUCACACCAAAUUACUAGUAUGCCUUUAAUCUUCAUACAUAUUUCAUCCAGCGGAGAACGAAAUCAUGUCAAUUCGCAUGUUACAUUAGCUACACUUCUAUACUCAGCUUUUGAGGUGGCCAACACUAAUUUUUGUUGGGAUAUGGCGUUGUAUGUGUUGGUAUAACAAAAUCAAAGUUGAAUUCUUCAGUCUUUGGUGAUCCCUACAAUACAAUACAAUGGGAUCUGAAAUUAUUCAAAGCAAAGCAAAGAUAAGAAAAAAAACUGUCAAGUUGAUUUAGAUUCAGGGUUUCUUUUAUAUACUGAACUUAGCAUACAAGUUUGGAACGAGGUUUAUGUCAGUAAAGCAAAGUUAAAACAAAUCCAAAAAAGAGGAAUGAUGAAACCACCCCCACAACACCUUUAUUUCUUUUCCUGCAACGGCCAUGAAAAUAAUAGUUCAGUAAGAAAGGUAUCAAUCAUACAAAGAUAAUGGCACAGUAUAAAGGCCAAAUUAGGAGAUCAUUGAUUAUGGAUGGACCCAAGCUAGCAAGCAGUGAUAUUUCUUUACUUUUAAGAGUAAUUAGCUCCCCACUCCCUUCCCCUUAUUUUGGUUGAUUUAAUUCAAGCAAAAAAGAAGAAGCUAAAACCCCAUAUUCCUAUCCUUUCUCUCUCAAUUUUCUUCUCUUUCUUUCUUGGCUUGCAUUGAAGAAAAACAGGUUGGUUAAAGUGCCGCCUCAUGAAUGUGUAGUAAACAAAGUCAUUGUCACAAAAAGACAUGGGCAAUUGCUCUAGAGUUUGCAAGAACAAAGAUGCUAUAGACAUGAAUCUUAGUGCCCAAAUUCACUCCUCCAUUAAGAAGAACAUUUCCAGAAAGGAGCACUCCAUUGUUGAACUCGGUACUAGACGUCAGCCAUCAUCAAUAGAAUAAGAAAUCAGUUUUUGAGACUUGAGUUUGUUCUCUAACCUGGCUUUCUUAACCUUUCUUUUCUUUUCUUUUUUUGUCAUCAAUGGAUUAUUACAUUAUGCAGAUCUUUAACCUUUAUUGUUGCCUGGAAACUAAUUUACUCAAGUUUUUAACAUAUCUAACUGAAGUGUGCCUAUCAUUUCUAUGCAAGUAACACAGAAGAGAAGUUUUUUUAUUCCAUCCAAUGGUUAGAAUCUGACAGUGAAGAUUUCUUCAGUGUGAAUGGUGGUGAGAUUUUCCCCAAUUUUGUUGAGACAAACUAUUUUCAUUUCCCCAUAAUAAUAGCAUUGCUAAGUUUCUUAAAUUCAAAAUCACAUCGUUGCUUUUGACAAAGCUUAGUUUCAUCCAGAUUUUACUUUUUCUUGCGGAAAUAGCCCUAAAAACCUGAAAACCUGGAAGGAAAAUUCUCUCACAGAUACAAAGAAAUAACUAAUUGAGUUAUUUAGAGAGAGCUCUAAUGAUUAUGAUGAUGAUGAUGCUGUGAAUAAUUACCCAAAUAUGAAAGAUGAGUUGGAAGACAAAGCUGUAAUGUUGAACAAGCUUCUAAAGUCAAGAAGCAAAAGUCCACAUGAAUCCAUCUCCAACUCCAUUGGCAGCAAUAAAGCAAGAUGCUUCCUUGGGGAAGAAAAACCAGCCCACGAAAUAUGAGCUUUAAUGAGAUAAAGAAAGGGCUAAUAAACCCUCACAAUAACUGAUAUUUAUUCUGUAUAAAUCUCUUGUAAACAAUCUACAAUCUACAAUCUCAUAAUUGAAAAUAGUUCAACUCUAGUUUUUUCUUUUUACUAGUGUGAGUGUGAAAUUUAGAAAAAUUAGCAAAAUGGCACAAAACACAUUAUUAACAAAUAACAUCCAUGUACAUACCAUUAAAAUUUAACCAUAACAAAUACAUAAGUGUUAAACAAUGGUAUAAAGAUUGUUAAGAUGGUUAGUUUGUUAUAAAAUCUGUUAAGUAGUUGGUUAGGAGCUAUUAUUCCCAUAUGUGUAUAUAAACCUCAUCAAUGUGUUUAUUCAAAGAUAAGGAAUAAAGACUAAAGAAUUAUACUAUACUUUAUCUUUCUAUUCAUACAUAUUUUGCGUAGUACCUUACAUAGUAUUAGUCGCCUAGUCCUGGUACGUACUUCCGCUUUCGCAUUAUGGCACCAUCAACCGAUUCUAACUCUGCUGAUCCUAUGAGUCUAUCGUUUUCCAGUGCACUCCUGGUUCAAUCUUUCCCUCGUCAUGACACGGUGAAGCUAGAGGAAGAAAAUUUUGUCCAAUGGCAACAACAUGUCCUGUUGAUAAUAGAUGGAUAUGAGCUACAAGGAUCCUUGGAGGGUGUGUUGUUUGCCCCACCUAGGCUCGUCGCAUCUCCAGAAGGUGCACUUACUCUAAAUCCAGAUGCAUCUGUGUUUAAUCAACAAGAUAAGUUGUUAGCUUAUUGGCUCUUUUCUACAAAUAGUUCGUCGCUUCUAUCAUACUUUACAUCUGCUAAAUUUGUAUGCAAAAUAUAGAGCACCGCAAAUCGUCUUUUUGUUACUUUAAUUAGUGCGAAAGUUUCUCAUAUUAAACAUGAUCUUCACUCUACAAAGAAGGAUGAGUUAACUGUAAAAUAGUAUAUUGCGAAAAUAAAAAAUAUUUGUGCGUUACUUGCAGCUUCUGGAUUGGCAGUGUCAGAAGCCGAAAAGGUAAAAGUUAUUUUGGCUGGCCUCUCGUCAAAUUUUGACGUAGUGUUGACCUUGGCUUAGUUUUCGAUGGAGUCUCUUCUUUUUCAGCGAUUAGUUGACGUUCUUAUGGAUUUUGAAAGUCGACAAAUGCGAGUGACGUGUGAGGUUCCGAUGCAUGCUCAUCUAGUUGAAACGCCUAUGGUUGUUGCGGUAGUCGAUUCAGUUUCACGCGAUGUACAUGGAGGACGUGCUACAGUAGGUUCGCAAGGGCGUGGUUUUCGAUCACAAAUGCAGUGUCAAAUCUGUAACAAAUUCGGUCAUGUGGCGCAGUGCUGCUUCUAUCGUUUCAAUUGCUCCUACGACGGCCUGAAUGCUUCCACCAGGACGCGGUUUUCUUCUUCUACGCAUAAUAGACAAGGGCUACAAGGUUCUGGUUCGUUGGAUAGUUCUGGAUCUGGUGGUGAUUUUUUGGGAGGCUAGAUACCAUUUCAGAAUCGAGAUGUUUAUCCCCCGUAAGCUAGGGAUUUUUACCCUAAUGAAGUUGGUUAUGGGAUUGGAUUUGCUGGUGGAUCAAAUGGUGCUUGGUUUGGGUCUAUUGGUGGCCCAUCUGAAUUUUAUGGUAGGCGUGAUAUGCAGAUAGAUGUGGGGCAUGCUUUGGGCCAACGAUAUGCACAGCGUGUUGGGCCUUCUGCUGUAGCACACAGGCCGAGUUAUGCAGGCCAAUUUUGUGGGCAGCAUACUGGGCAGUGUUUUGGGCCGAAUGCAGGCCAGUCUCUUGGGUUUGUUAGUGAGAAAAAUAAUGGGUAACAUUUUGGGCCAAAUGUAGGCCAGUCUCUUGGGCCUGUUAAUGGGCAGAAUAAAAGGCUGAAUGGUGGACAGGUCAAUGUUAGUCAAAACUUUGGACUCAGUUCACUUGGGCCUAAUGCUAAUUAUGUUAAUCUUGAAGGCUCUAUGCGAAAUAAUGCUUUUGAAGUUCCAUGGCGGACUAAACUAUGAGCCCGUGUAUUUGAUUUUGAUUCCUCACAGUGUGUUGGGCUACCCCGAAUUCAUGAAUUUUAUGUGUCUAAUUUUUCGGAUGCCACACAAUAUGAUUCCAAAUUUGAUAAUACUAACUCAUGUGUUCCUGCGCCGAUAGGAAUCUUAUUAUGGUAUCCAGAUUCAGAGGCCACUCAUAAUGUGUGUCAGAAUGCGUCUAAUUUAAAUGCCUCCACUCCAUAUAUAGGUAUUUCUUCUCUUUUAAUGGGAAAUUGGGCUCCCACUAAAAUUUCUUCUAUUGGGAAUACUAUUCUACCAACAAAAAAGAAGUUAUUACAUCUUUCUAAUGUUUUGUGCUUGCUAAGUAUCCGAAAAAAUCUUAUGUCUGUUUCUCAAUUUGCUAUUAACAACAAUGUAUUUUUUGAAUUUCACCCCUCUUAUUGUGUUUUUAAGGACAUCCAGACAUAGGAAAUUUUACUGCGGGGCUAAGUUCGUGAUGAUCUCUAUCAAUUUUCGACCGGUUCGUCUGUUCUUUCUGAUUCAAUUCCCUCUAUUAACAACACUGAGAUCCAAGAUUAUCGAUUGAAUGAUGAUGAUGUCUUUUCACUGUGGCAUAAAAGGCUUGGUCACCCUUCUUCUGUGAUUGUUAAACUUGUACUUUACAAGUGUCAAAUUGUUUCAAAUAAAAAAUGUUUUGAUAAUGUUUGUGUUGCUUGUCAGAAAGGGAAAUCAAAUAAGUUUCCCUUUCACACUCUACCACUGAAUAUAUUGAAUUGUUUGAAUUGGUUGUCUCUGAUUUGUGGGGACCAACUUCUGUUGACUGUGGCGGUAAUCUGUAUUAUGUUUCAUUUAUUGACAUGUGUAAUCGUUUUACCUGGGUUUAUCUGAUUAAACAUAAAUCUCAAGCUUGCCAUGGGAAGACUAUUAAGAAAUUUCAAAGUGAUUGAGGCAGUGAGUUUCGUACUUUUGCUUCAGUUAUAGCUAGCCAUGGGAUUCUUCAUCGUCUUUCCUGCCCUCAUACUUCAGAACAAAAUAGUGUUGUUGAACGCAAACACAGGCACAUUGUGGAAAAUAGUCUUACACUUUUGGCCCAGGCUAAUCUACCUAUAAAUUAUUGGGGCUAUGCAUUUUACAGUGCUGUGCAUCUUAUUAAUCGAUUACGCACUUCAGUCUUGAAAGGUUAGUGUCUGUAUCAGAAUCUUUAUGGUCGUGAGCUUAAGUAUGAUCACUUAAGGGUGUUUGGUUGUUACACAAACUGGAUUUUCGCUUAUAGCCAUAUACGUUUCUGGGGUAUAGCUCUCAGUAUAAGGGUUAUCAUUGUCUCAAACCAGAGGGUAAGGUUGUUAUUUCUCGUCAUGUUGUGUUUGAUGAAUGUCGAUUUCUGUUUCAUUCAUUUGCACUGCCCACUAUUCAGUUGUCUUCUCAUUCUCCCACAUAUAUUCCUGUUGUUCAGACUUCUUCUGCCCAGUUUACUGCAAAACCCAGUAGUGCCACUGUCCAGUCAUCGAUUAUACCUCUGCCUCCUGAUCUAGGUUGCAAUUUUGACCGAUCUGUUAUGGUUGAGUUACCAGAUAUGUGUCAUCCCAGUGAGUUCAUCUUAGUUGGUUCACAGGCUAAAUGUGGGAGUAAUAUAAGGAGCAUUGUCUUUCGAGUUCGUCUAUGGAAGCUAGUCCGAUUGGUCAAUCCAGUAUGUCUCCAAAUAUUCAUUCUCUUCUUGCAGAAAAUACUCAUGCUAUGGUUACUCGGUCUAAUACACAAAUUUUUAAGCCUAAAGCUUUUUCAGUCGACGUUGUAGAUUUUGAGCUUCGAUCUGUUGAGGAAGCUCUUGCUCAUACGGAUUGGAAAUUCGCAGUUCAAGUUGAAUUUGAUGCUUUAAUGGCCAACUCUACCUAAGAGAUGGUUUCUCUACCUCCUGGUCGGAAAGCAAUUGGAUGCAAAUGGCUUUUCAAAAUUAGAAAGAAUCCUAAUAGGUCGAUUAGUCAUCAAAAACCAUGGUUGCUUUCAAAGGGGUGCUCUCAGGUUCGUGGCUGUGACUUCAAAGAAACGUUUAGCCCAGUGGUCAAACCUGCUACUAUUCAAACCAUUUUUUCUGUCUCUAUGACUAAUGGUUGGAAACUUCGUCAAGUCGAUGUAAACAGUGCCUUUUUAAAUGAAGACCUGACUGAUGAAGUGUUCAUGCAGCAGCCUCCAGGAUAUGUUCAAUAUGGUCCAAAUGGUGAGCCAUUGGUGUGCCAUCUGACAAAGGCUUUAUACGGAUUACAGAAAGCUCCCCGUGCUUGGAUUGAAACAUUGAAACAAUUUAUUAUCUCUGCUGGGUUUGUCUUGUCUAAAGCUGAUGCCUUUGUAAUAGCCCAAUUUAGACCCUAGUCGGAACAAUAGUUUUGGGACCACAAAUUUGAGUUAUAAAAAUAUUUUAAUAUUAUUUUUGGUGUCUACAACAUGUUAAUUUAUAUGUUUGAAAAUUUCGUGUGAAAAUUUUAUCGUUUGUGUGCUCGAUUUUAUAAAAAGACUUAAUCGUGUAAAAUGCAAAAGUGGCUAGCUAUUUGUUAAAGUGCUAUAUUGCUAUGGCUUUUAUAAUAUGGGGCCCUUAUGUUGAUAUUAUACCAUUGAAAUUAUGAGUGGACUUUUAUGGACAUGGUUAGUUAAUUAUUAAAGUAAUUUCAAUAAGGUUAAAAUGGUAAAUGGUUUAUUAAUAUGUAUUAAAUAAAAAAAAAACAUGAAUUUAGUCUUUAGUUCAUUUUUAUUUCACCAAAAUAAGAAAAGAAAAAGGGGUUUUAAAGCUUUUGUACAUUCGGUCUUUGAAGGUUUUGAUUGAGGUAUGUUUUUUAUUCAGUUUUUGAUAAUUUUUAUGUUUUUGAGAUUGUUGCUUUGAACUCUAUCUAGCCCAUGUCACAAUUUUUGAAAUUUUUAGUGAUUUUGAGAUAUUCCAUGGAUGAAUCCAUGAGUUUGUGUUGAUAGUUGGUGAAAAAUGAAAGAUAUUGUUGGGUUUAUAUGUUUUGUAUUGUGAUUUUUGAUGAAUUUGCUUAGUAUGGACUAAUUUGUGAAAAUGAGAAAUUGAAGGGUUAAAAUGUGAAUAAAUGAAAGAUAUGGGCUUAUAUGAAUUAUAUGAAUAUUCAGCCAAGCAUGAGAAAUAUGAAAUUUUAUGUAUUUUGUGAUUUUAUGAAAUAUGGACUAAAAUGUCAAAAAUGUGAAUUUUAGGGGCUAAAGUGAAAAACACCCUAAUUAUGUGUUUGUGGUUUAAAUUGAAUGAAAUGUGUUAUUAAAUAGCCAAUUUUGAAUUUAUAUAGAUCAAGAACAAAAGAAAACGGAAUUAGAUAUGGAGAAGUCGAAAGUGGUUGAGUAGUCGAUUCCAUCUGUUCGUUUCCGUACGAAGUAAGUUCGUAAGUAAAUAAAUGUCAUUAAAUUUGAAUGUAUAUGUAUUAUAAAUGUUGAAUUUAUUUUUAAUGAAUAUAUGUGUAAAUGUCAAAUUGUUUUAAGCAUGGGGGAAUUGUUUACGAGCUUGAUUCGAUUGAAUUACGACAUCCGAAAGCUCGUACGAACCAUAGGAAUAGUUAGGAUACAUAUGUCAUGACAUAGGAUUCCGAUAUGUGAUAUCGUGUAAGACCACAUUUGAGAUGUUGGCAUCGAUUUGAGAUUUACGUGUAAGACUAUGUCUGGGACAUUUACAUCAUAUAUGAUUUCGUGUAAGACCCUGUCUGGGACAGUGGCAUCGUUAUUUGAUUACAUGUAAGACCACGUCUGGGACGUUGGCAUUGUAUGAGUUUUUCGAGUUAUCCUUAUUGAUUUUGAACAGUUCGACGGGCAAUAUCGAGAAAUGAAUGAUUAUGUAAAAAUGUAUCCGAUUCAGGCACGUGUGAUUUGUUUAUGUAAUUCAGAAAUGAAAAGUGAGUAUGUUUCAAAUGACUAUACGUGAAAUACAUGACAAUGAAUGAUGCUUAUGUAGUAAAUUAAAUCAUAUGAGAAAAGUGAAUGUAUAUAUGUUUGAAAUUGUUUGUAUUCGGCCUAUUUGAAUUGAAUUGUUAAUAAUCUUAUAAUGAUUUAUUUGCUUAUGGAUUACUAAGCUUUCCAAGCUUACUUUGUUUGCUUAUCCGUUGUUUUAUAGAUUUUGAAAGCUAGCUCCAAGCUCGGGGAUCAUCUAGGAUCAUCGUCACACUAUCGACUAUUACUCGGUAUUUUUGAAGUUUGAAACUAUGAACAUAUGGCAUGUAUAGGCUGCUUUUUAUAUGUUUGUUUUUGAAAUUUGUAUAUAGAUAGCGAUGCGAAAAUGGCUUGAUUAUAAUGUUAAAGCUUGUGUGUAUGUGGCUACGGCUUAAACUUAUUUUGGAAGUAUGUUUCUU